UCAAAUUUAGUUCGAAUUGCAGCGGUAGUAUAGACAUUUGGAAUGCACUAAAAUUUUGGUAUGAGUAGGUCACAUGCAUUAUACAACAAGCGAAAAAAAUUAAUCGGACAUAACAUGGAUUCAUACUCCCUCCUUCUAUAUAUAUAUAGGGCGCAAUGAGUUUUUUAAGACUGCCUUUGAAUAUUGACAAGAUUAAUAGUGCAUGACAUGCACAAUGUGAAAAUUAUAUCAUUGAAAGAACCUUUCACAGAUGAAUUUAACGGUGUGCUUUGCGUAAGUUGCAUGUCAUAUAUUAUUGCUCUAAUAUUUGGUCAAAGUUAGCAUUGAAAAACGCAUUAGGCCCUAUAUAGAUGGAAGGAGGGAGUAGCUUUGAAUAGUAAAACAGGGCAAGACUCUCUCUUUGUGUGGUGUGAAUAGUUUUACUUUUUUCAUUUUCUUUUUGGUUGAGGGAAGUGCGAAUUGAUUUCGUACGUACAAGUACAAUAUUACAACAUGUUAGGCUUGUCCCUAAAAUUCAACCCGCGUCUUGUUAUAUCCCGAAAAUUCAGAUAUCGUGCUCCCAAAACUGGCACCUUCACAACCCGCGCCUUGCUAUCCCGAAAUUACAACGCGCGCGAAAACUCCCUCCAGCUGUCAAAUCCCGACACGCGAAAUCCCCCUUCUAACCCUGAGCCAAAAGGGCCGCUAGUUCAAAUUGGUGGGGGGUAAUUUUGUAACACACCCUACAUUUUGGACAAGCGUGUCCCUAAGUCAUGGUUCACCCCCUCCCAUCGCCCCAUUUUCGCCAUUCAAAAUCCCAGGCCGCCAUAACCUCUCCGCUCCAGCCGCGAAACCGGACCCUCCUCCGUCCGCCACCUCACCGCUGCCCAGUCGGAGCCUCUUCCCCAACGACGUCAUCCACCGCAACAGCUCGACGUCCCUCGUCCACCUCCCCGGAUGAGGAUCCGUCAUCCAUCUCGUCGUCCCGCCGGUUCAGCCGCCCUGUCCUCCACCUCCAAGGAGUUGCUCCGACGAUCGCCUCGCCUAUCGCGGCUGCUCCAUCCCUACAGCACCGCCUUAACCUGCUCCACCAGAACUGCAGCAUCCUCACCGACUCCUCGGACGAAGUCGAGGCCUACUCGGCGCCACCAAAGAGGUUGUACACUCAUCGCAUCGCACCUUCUCCUUAACUCGACCUCCCGGCACCGACGGUGCUCCAUCUCGCACCCCCGUGGAGCGGCUACCUUGAAGCCGGCACCGCGGGCGACAUCUCCACGGCGGCUCUCCCCCAGUGCGAGGCCCCUUCGGCAGUGGCGUCCAUACCAACCGGAUCUGCUGCUGCUGCUCCGGCUCUCGCUCGAUCGCUCGCUCGCCCAGCUGCUGCUGCUUCUCUCCCCCUCGCUCAUGUUGCUACUCUACUCUGAUUUAGCCACACUUCAGCCGACUGAAUCAAAUUUUGGGUUAGUCGAUUUUCAGGGGUUGGGGGGCUCGCCGGAGUUAAGGAAGAACCACCCACAACGGGGACGGGGGCUCGUCGAAGAGGUACCUCACUAUCUAUCUUAGGGUUCCCGGUGGGGGCGGGGGCCUAGAGGGCUGGCCAGGGCGGCGGUGGGGAGUUGUUUCAGGGUGGCGAGGCGGCGCUGGGACCGGCGGCAAGGCCGGUGGUGGCUAGCGGCUCAGGGGGGUGCAGGUUGAAGAUGAACUGCAGGCCCUCCCUAAACUACAUGUCAAGUGCCUCUCUGCUACCAUUGCGUUCAGUUUUGAUAGUAGCAUUCAGAUUCCACAGUAAAUUUUAGUUUCGACAGUUAAGUUCAGAGUCAACAGUUUUUACCUCAUCUGUUGUAGUCAGGUGGUUUUUGGUGAUGUAAAUUUUACAUCUAUUUUACAUCAUCUAUUGGAGAUGCUAUUAGAAUUCCACUUGAGAUUGAUGAUGUCUGUCUUGUGCUGCUUCAGCCUUGACGCCUUACGGCUCACCGGAACUGCUCCAACGACAGAACGAUCCAUCAUAACAGAGCAGUGCCCUGAACGCCGUCUACAGAUUCCUCAGAUCUUCCUCCACACCUCCGAUAGCCACCUCUACCUCAACUGCUUCAGCGACCAACCAAUGAUGCUGAGGUCGACACGGCUACGACAAAGAGGUUGUACACUUGUUGCAUCACUUAUUACUAUACAUUCACGUCGAUCCAUUAGGGCUAUUUUGGUUCAACGGAAAAACAUAGCAAUAGGGAAUUUUCCAAUGGCACUCUACUAUUCAAUUAUCCAUGCAUUUCAUUGAAAGGAAUGAAGCAAAACAUCCACCUGGACCUACUUUUCAAAAUCUUAUGCAUGAAAACAAGACCAAGUGCAUUAGUGGCACAAUAACAUUCUAACUGUACACACUUUCAUAUGGUUUCACUUUAUCUUGGCCAUGUUUCUUUGCAUUCCUCUGCUCUUCCAAUUCCUGUAAACCAAACACCCAAGUUAACAGAAAUCAUGUGUUUACAAAUGCUAUGUUUACCAUGUGCAUUCCUAUCCUAUUCCGGUGUUUUUCCUAUCCCUGCGUUUUAAGAAUCAUGCAGGCCAAAUGAGCCCUUACAGAAUUACUUCAGUUAUAGGUACGUGUCGAAGGGAACUUUGUGUGGUUUGUCCUGCUCCUGCCGCCACGUCGUCCACCUCACCUGAGCUGCUCCAUCAAUAGAAGCAUCCACCAAACCAGACAUCACAACUCCUGACCGUCUUUCGCCGCCUCAGAUCUCCUUCCCUACCACCAGCACCCAUCGCAACAGCAUCACCAUCAUCGACUCAGCAGAUGAACCUGAGGAGUACACGGGUCCACAAGAGAGGUCGCACUCUUUUGUUUCUGCUUAUGUUAUGCAUUGCUUAAAAUUACCUGCUACUUUAUCGUCAUGUUCACCUCUUGGACUCCAAGCCAGGUCCAAAUUAAUGUUCAAACUUGAGUUAUAAAUUAUUUGUGAGGCACAUAUCGAGGCAGCAAUGAAUAGUAUGUCUGUCUAAUAUCUGGUUCACCUAGGGUAUGCCUAUGUUGUUCAUCUUGGGUGGGAAACAAAUAGUAAAGCAAUCAUCAUCUGUAUUUUUUAUUAAUUCAAAGCAAUCAUCAGCCUGCUAUCAUUAUUUUUGGAUCCAUCCACUGGUUGUUACCAUCACUCUAAAUUUCUGCAUGCUCUCCUUACAUAAUCUCACCAUAUUUUUUUCGUAUGCAUGUCAGAUAUUGUACACAGUCAUGCUGAACAUGUAGAGAAAAAGAUAAGAGUUUUGCGCGGCAAUACAAUGUCAUGCAGACAUCGCUCCAUGGUGGGUUCAAUGGCAAACCCUCCCCACCCCUCUCUAGAUUGUAAUCCAGAGGAAGAUAUCUGUUCUGAGGCAGAUUCAGACGCCGCUGACCACUCCUAUUUACCCCCCAAGGUGUUUGUUCUACCUUGGCAUGAUGAUGUUAGUCAUAUCAUGCAUAUGUUGCCUUGCAGUGCCUACUUUUGACAUCAUAUAUGUCAUCUGCUUAGUUUAGACAUGUUUUGUAAUGACACCUGUUUAGUUUCUAUAUCAUAUAUGGGAAUUAUGCAGUCUCAUGUCUUUUAGCCAGCCAUAAUAUAUGUGAAAUGUGCAAUGCCAUCCUGUUUAACCAGGCAUCAUAUAUUUGAAUGAUAUCUUGCCCAUCCUUUUCUUCAUUACAUUUCCAUUUGUCGACAAUAUUUGUACAUUAAACUACUCUUCCUGUGAAUCAGCCAUUUGGGUGGGAGAUGGAAAAAUCUGGAGUGAAAACAAGGCCUUCAGAGCAGACAGUGCUACAUGUCGAAGCAGAUCUCUUGUUGGGUCCCGAUAGCUCCUCAGUGAUGGAUUCAGAGACAGAUGACCAGUCCUAUUCCCCCACUGAGGUGUAUGCUCAAACUUGGCACGGUUAUACUGCUCAUAUCGUGCAUAUGGUGUCUUGCAUUGCAUAGUUUAGACAUCAUAUACACAAUAUUCAACACCAUGUUCUUAGUUCAGACAUCAUAUCGGAUGCCCUCUGUUUAGCAUAUAAAUCACAUAUGUGAAUUAAAUGAUGCGAUCCUGAUUACUUGGAUACCAUGUAGGUGAAUUAUGUCAUGCGAUCCUAUUUAGUUAUUCAUCAUAUCUUUGAAUUAUGUUAUGCUAUGCUAUCCAGUUUAGAUAGACAUCAUAUAUGUGAAAUUAUGUCAUGCUAUACGUUUUAGUUAAACAAUAUACAUGCCAACUAUUUCAUGCCUUUUUUCCACACUAUCUAUUGCAUUUGUCUCUCAUACAAUGUCUGUACAUUCAACUAUGUUUCCUGUUUAUCAGCCAUUUGAAUUGGAGUGGGUGAUGCCAGUAUCCAUCAGACUAAAAACACGGUCUUGAAAUAAAGCAGUGCUACCUCUUGGUGGAGAUAGCACCCCAGUUGUACAUGCACAAGAACCAGCCCUACCACACAUAACCCAAACUCUCGCAGAUUGUACCCCUACUGCAAUGGAUAGAGGACCAGCUUCACCCAAUCUAACCCCAACCCCAGCAGAUAGUAACCCAGUUCAUGUUGACACAGCACCAUCUCCACCACAGAGCUCCCAAACAAGAGCAGUUAGUAAGGCAGCUCCAGUGCCCAAAGGGCCAGUACUACCACGGUGAACCCCAACUCCACCAGUUAGUACGCCUAUUCCUGUGGAGGAAGCACAACCAGCUAGUCAUAGUUUAGCAGCUAUCGCAUUUGAUGUUGUUAACACGUAUGUGUGUAUCUUCCCAUCUUGGAAAUAUUAUACUGAAGAUGAAGGAAAAUGCCAGUUGCAGGUGUUUUUCUAGGAGUUAUGUGUAAGUAAUGUUAUUCAUGGCAAUUGCUUUGCUUUGUCCCAUACAUCCUACCUCCAUGAUGGUUAUAAACUUAUAAUACAGCAAAUUUUCCCAUUUUUCUCCAUAGAGAAGGACCAAUUUGGAAACUCAGGAUGAGGUAACCUGUGCUAAUACCUCUGCUAUCUUCAAGAAUGCUUGGUGGUAGUAUCGGAAUUACCUAAAGAAAACGUACUUUAUCGGCAAAGAAACUCAUCAAAUUCCCUUACGUUCUCUUGAGACACAUUUACUGGACGAUGACUGGGAACGCCUUGUUCUUUACUGGUCCCAAACCAAGAAUGUGGUAAGGUCUAUGAGCUCAUUUUCUAUUUUUAAGUACUAUAUUCUUGCGUCUUACUAUACUCUGUUCAUGUAGAACAAGUGCCUAAACAUGAAGAACAACUAUUCUAAUUUAAGACUCUAUUGCUAUCAUAGUUCAAAAAAGCGCUAGGCGUUAAUUGUGCGUUUUGCCACCGCCUUGCGCUUUACUGACCAAAACGCAUGCUUGUGCACAGUUAUGCACAGAUUAAGCGUAGUUAUGCGCAAUGCGUUUUGCCAACGCCUAGAGCCUAGGCACGCCUUUUUUAACUAUGAUUGCUAUCAUGCAUACUGCUUUGCUCUUGUAUCACUGUAUUUACUCAUACAAACUUAUUUUUAAAUUGAAGGAUCCAAUUGAAACUCCAAUGGCACAGCAGGUAUGUUCACGCAUGUUUCUUUAACAGGUUUGCUCUUAUCAAUAGCUCUGUUGAUUUCAAUUUCAAUUGUGUAUAAAGUUGACUUCUCAUAUCAUGCAUAUUACUAGCAUCACAACAGAUCCAAUAGUGUUGUUGUACAUGUAGACCCGUGGUACCCAUCUGAAAUCUUAUUGUGUCAUGUAGUUUCCCACGCUUUGUAUUCUUUCACUGCUGCUUUGUCUUGAACUAACAUGAUUUGAACCGUGUCUCUAUUUUGAUUUGGCAAGACAAUGCAGUGACCAUAGGACAUAGAUAUAUGUUUGUUUGAUGCUUUUAUUAUGUACUAGUACUUGGCAAUAGAAGAAUUGGUAGUUUAAUCCUGUCCACCUUACUAAUGAACUGGUUCACCAAAAUGAGUUUCAUAUACUAGUACAUGCUACACCUGUUAUGUGUCUGCUUGUUUCUUCUUUUAGAAUGCUGACAGAAUAUUGGGGAAGAGUGCUUUAUUAAGCAAUUGUAAAGGAAGUAAUGCAGAUAAGGUUCAGGAUAGUGACACAUCCUUGUUGGUCUCCAACAAAGCUGAUAAAACAGCUAAGGAAGACUAUCUUGAAGACGGUGAGACAACCCCAAAGUCCUAUCUUGGUUUAGUGUUCGAGUUACUGGCCACUAUCGCUUGCACAAGCUAUUCAAACUCACUGUCUGAAUCAAUUCGAUUUCUUGAGUCUCAACUACAAGCUGAAAGAGAUCGAUCAGCUGUGCUGCGACAAGAAGCGGAAGGACUGCGGAAGUCCCUGCAGCAUUCAGAUGCAUACUUUCUGGUGCAACAACAAGCGUUGGAGGAUUUUAGCGCCAAACAGGACAAAGCUAAUAAGCUUGCUAAGCUUAUUGCCAGCAUGGUGGAUACCCAGGAUAACGUUUCUUGAGCUCUUCUGAAGUUGUUUCAGUUAUGCUCUUGUUUUGCUGCCGCGUUUAUUUGCACUAGUGGCCAAUUUUGACGGCCAGUGUAUGUAAUAUGCUGCUUUGUUCCCUAUAUUUGCACUGGUGGCGAACUUUGAUGCCCAGUGGAUGUAAUAUGUGUAAUAGCGGUAAUAGGCUAGCGUUAAUUGCUUGCUUAUUUAUUUCCUCGUUGUCUUCUUUAGUUGUUUGCUUGUAGUCACUGCAGUUCUUUUUCUGUGUUUUUCUAGUGGCCACAAUAGCCUAUUUUUGGUAACUAGGCCAAAAUAAUCAUGGCAGCACACGGACUGUUGUAACCAUGGGCCUCCUGCCAGCCGUAUGAUCCAUGGGCCUUCUACGGGCGUAGGAUCCAUUGGCCUUCUGGAUGGGCCGUAGGAUCCAUGGGCCUUCUACAGGACGUAGGGUCCAUGGGCCUUCUACGGGCCGUAGGAUCCAUGGGCCUUCUACAGGGCGUAUCAUCGUUUCGCCAAUCAUGGGUCAUCCUAUUCGUGGACCAUAAUGGACCGUUAAUGGGUCGUAUUUGAUAACUGUAUGAAAACAGCCCAACGGGUUUUUUUGACAUGAAAACGGCCCAACGUAUUAAUGGUCCACAAACGGGCUGACUGUAACAACAGGCUGAAUUUGGCCCACAAGCAGAAAAUGACAGUAACGGGCAGUAAGUAACCGAAUGUUGCAAAUGAGCCCAAGAAUAAAUGGGCCCUGAGAAGGCCGAAAGAUAACUUGGCCUGGAAACGGCCUAAUGGAAUAAUGGACCGUUAAUGGGUAUAAAGUGAUACACUGUUCAUUACACGCCAGUUUCACCACGGGUCGUUAAUGGGCCAAGAGUUACAAAGGGCCUCAUAUGGGCCGAAGGAAUUCAUGGGCCACACAUGGGCCAGAAGUUAAAAUGGGCUGGAAUUAUAUUGGACGGCUCAGAUGAUGCUACUGGGCCUAAUUCGGAUAGGGCGUAACGGGCCAUGGGUUAGCGGGUUGUAAAUGGGCUAUAUGCGGACAGGCCGUUAACAAGCUUUCCGUGGGCCGGCCCGCCACCUUUUGACCAAGUCAAACGGGCCGGCCUUUUCACAGGAAUGGGCCUCUGUUGGGUCGUGUCACGUGUCGACGUAUCAUAGGCGCCUUGGGUCCAAUGAGUGGAUGACAUAUGUCCCAACGGUGAGCCGACACGUGUUUCCUCCAGCCAAUGAUGAUUUUACAUGUGGAAAAUCCCCAUUGGUCGGGGCUGUUAACAGGUUAUCGGAUCCAAAACCGGACCCGAUAGCUUAACGGUGUUCCAUUACGGUGGAUGCCACAUGUCGGCCACCCUUGACGAAAGCACUUCUGUGAUGCGCGAUUUAUUGUCAUGGAAGUGGACACUUCCGUGAUGAUAAUUUUGAUAAUGUAAUGGAACACUUCUAUGACAACACAGGUAUGACUAUCUUGAUUAUGUCAUAAAAUCAUCAUGGAUGUACAUGCAUGACAGAAAAUGCGACCUACUGUGACAAACAUGUAUCAUCACGGAAGUGUAUUUUUUUUGUAGUGCAAUGGAGUGGACCCCGGAGGCCGAGGCAGCGCUGCAGGAUUUGAAGAAAUACCUCUCCUCUACCCCAAUGCUGGUUGCGCCUAAACCACAAGAACCGUUGCUGUUGUACCUAGCGGCAACGAAUCAGGUAGUUAGCGUCGCACUGGUGGCGCAGAGAGAGGUCGACGAAGAGGCAGCAGCAACGGCAGAGUCAACGGAUGGCGAGCCGGAACCCUCCCCGGCAGGGCUCGGUCCCGGCAAGACUGAGUACCUGACAAGGGCUAACGCCAGUGCAACAGGGCCCAUGCGACUAGGUGAAGUUGUGCAGAAGAAGAAAAUGGUGCAGCACCAAUUUUACUUCGUCAGCUCUCUCUUGCAGGGGGCUAGGUCGAGGUACUCAGGUGUGCAAAAAUUGCUCUUCGGCCUCCUUAUGGCCUCGAGGAAGCUGCAUCAUUACUUCCAAGCGCACAAGAUCACCGUUGUCACCCGUCUCCCGUUGCAAUGCAUACUACAUAACCCAAAUGCAACGGGGAGGAUUGUGGAAUGGGCCCUGGAGCUGUCAAGUUUUGGCUUGAAGUUCGAAAGCACCUCGACGAUUCAGAGCACAGUAUUGGCGGAGUUCGUUGCUGAAUGGACCUCGACGCCCGACGAAGAGGUCCAGGAGACCACUCUCCCCGGCAAGGAAACAAGUCACAAUUGGAUCAUGUAUUUUGAUGGAGCCUUCUCGCUACAAGGCGCCAGCGCUGGUGUGCUGCUCGUCGCACCCACCGGAGAGCACCUCAAGUACGUGAUCCAAAUGCACUUUCCCAGGGAGAUGCCGACAAACAACACUGCCGAGUACAAGGGAUUGCUUGCCAGUCUCAGGAUCACGGCGGACCUCGGAGUCAAGAAGCUCAUCGUCAGGGGUGACUCGCAGCUUGUCGUCAGGCAGAUCAACAAAGAUUAUCAGAGCCUGUUGAUGGAAGCUUACGUAGAUGAAGUGAUGAGACUGGAGGAGCGCUUUGACGGUAUACAGGCAGAGCAUGUCCCCCGGAUGGAGAACGAUAUCGCCGACUACCUGUCAAAGCGUGCUGCCCUCAAGCUACCUGUGGAACCAGGUACUUUUGUGCUUCGGUUAACUCAACCAUCCGUCGAACCAUCAACAGAACAGAACAAGCGGAGGAAGCUAGGCCCCGGCAAGUACUUCCCCACCAAGCUCCCUGGAGCCGCCGGCAAAGGAGUUGCCAUGGACGCCGAGCCUGCCGUGAGACAACUGACUCCAGCGGGGCACCAGGCCCUUGCCGCGGAGGCAACCGUUCCCGCGGCAGAAGAAAUGCCUUUGGUACUUGCCGUCGAGCCACAGGCUCCAGCAUGUGCGCAGCACACUAUCCUAUUCCUCCAAAUAGGAGAGCUUCCUAAGGAGCAGGAAGAAGCGGAGAGAGUAGCCUGCCGGUCUGCUCUGUACCAAUUCGUUGACAAUGUCUUGUACAGAAAAAGACCAAAUGGGGUGAAAUUGAGGUGCAUCUCCCGGUAGGAAGGACUGGAUCUGUUGGCAGAGAUACAUGGAGGCAUAUGCAGCUCCCACAUAGGGUCAAGGGCCCUUGCUGGCAAGGCUUUCCGGCAAGGUUUCUUCUGGCCCACUGCCCUCCAGGAUGCGACGGCACUAGUAACCAAGUGUGAAGCGUGCUAGUUCCAUUCAAAGAAACUUCAUCAGCCAGCUCAAGCCUUGCAGACAAUCCCUCUCUCCUGGCCAUUCUCGGUUUGGGGGCUCGACAUAUUGGGCCCUUUUCCCCGCGCCGUCGGGGGCUUAGAGUACUUGUACGUUGCCAUCGACGAGUUCACAAAGUGGCCGGAGGUGGAAGCAGUGAGGAAGGUGACCGCACAGUCGGCCGUCAAAUUCUUCAAGGGACUAGUUUGCCGCUUUGGUGUGCCGGACAGAAUCAUCACCGACAAUGGCACGCAGUUCACAAGCCACACCUUCAUGCAGUAUAUCGAGGACCUCGGCAGCAAGGUCUGUUUUGCUUCCGUGGCACACCCACAAAGCAAUGGUCAAGCGGAGAGGGUGAAUGCAGAAGUGCUACGUGGCCUGAGGACGAAUACUUUUGACAGGCUACACAAAAGCGAGAGGCGCUGGAUUGAUGAGUUGCCGGCGGUUCUUUGGUCGAUCAGAAUGACGCCAAAUCGAGCCACCGGCCAGACACCCUUUGCCCUGGUUUACGGGGCAGAAGCAGUUCUCCCCACGGAACUCAUAUACGGGUCACCUUGAGUGCUCGCUUAUGAUGAGCUUGAGCAAGAGCGAUUGCGUCAAGACGACGCAACGUUCCUCGAGGAAGAUUGUCUUUGAGCGGCUGUGAGAGCAGCGCGCUACCAGCAAGCCUUGCGCCGCUACCAUAGCCGCAAGGUUCAUGCCCGGAGCUUUGAGGAAGGCGACCUUGUUCUUCGGCGCAUUCAGCGGCCAAGAAUUCCAACAAGUUGACACCGAAGUGGGAAGGCCCUUAUCGAGUAACACGAGUCACCAGGCCUGGCGCAGUCCACCUGGAGACCGAAGAUGCCAUUCCAGUGAGCAACUCCUGGAACAUCGAGCAUCUUCGCAAGUUUUACCCAUAAGGCGCGGCUGUCGGGCCCCCCGGCAAGCCACCUUUUUGUACAAGCCUUGCCGACAAGGCAUGUAACCCUCUGUACAAAGCCAGGCACAGACCCUGAGCAUAAAUAAAUGAAGCAUUGGCGCCCUAAGUUAUAGCAUGCAUGCUAGAUUGAGUCUCUCCCUCGGUUAGGGUUGAUAGUGCUUAGCAGCGACUAACCCCUAGCAUAGAGGUCGAGUUUGCAUCUCUUUGUUCCUAUCCAGCCUCUUUGGUUCAUAGGGUACAUAAAUGUUUCCGCCAAGCCGAGUGGAAGGAAGAGAACAAGUUGGCGCUCCGGACCGGGCAAGCCAAGCUUGCCGGGAGCUGAAGACAUGAAGGUCCACCCACGGCAAGCUAGGGUUGCCGAGGGCUGCAGAUUCAGAUAAGUUUUUCCAUCCCCUGUUAUGCAUUUCCGUAUGAUGCUUGGAACAUACGGAACCUCGUUUUGUUCCAAGGCUGCCGUGCUCCCCUCAUUCCUAUCACCCAAGAACUCCUUGGUUCGGAAUAUGGUUGUAGCUGCAGCGGCAAGGAAGCCAGCGUAGCGCCCACCCCCGCUUCGUCCCUGCCUCCACCAAAGGCGUGAGUAUGGACGAACGAAGUGGGGGAACGGCAAGGCCUGCUGCCGGGCAAUGGUGUUUAUAUUGAAAAAAUAAGGAUUUGUUCCUUGGUAUGGGCUUUGGUCACACACACACAAGACCCGGCAAGCACCCUUUUUCCAUUAAUACAUUCCAUAUAGGUACAGUUCGUACGGAAUGUAAACAUGAACAGGGAGGUUACAAGUUUUAAAUCUAACUAAGGCCCGUAGGCUUACAAACUGAAAACAGAUAAAGUGCCCGUAAUCCCUUUCUUGUCCCUCUCCUCAGGAAAUGAAACAAGAAGGCAAAACGGCAGAGGAAGCUCCUAGCUGAGGUACGAGCAGCAGAAGGCGCCAAGAGAACAUGUCGGUGGUUGCCUAGGAGAGGGUUGGCGGUGGUGGUGCUGGAGGAAAAGCUGGAAGAUGAGGCAGUGGUCCGUCAAUACGCUACGAAGGCGUCGGUGCCAUCAUACUCCGACUUGACGGCCCGCCACCCGCUUUCUUCGCCUUCACCGGCCUCCCCACGCCAGCCGUCCAAGGAGGCGACCCCGAGAAGUUCAAGGAGCCGGCGACACGGAUGAUGGGGUCGCCGGUGUCGCCCAGGAGCGGCGCGCCUGAUGUCUAGUCGGACCCAUCAUCCUGCCGCCUGCUACCCUCGUCGUCGUUGCCGUUGUCCUCCUCGCCACUCCUGCUCGAGGAAGAGUCUUCAUCGUCAGAGGAGCUCUCCACGCAGCACCUUACGUGAGUCCCAAAGUGUCCAAAGACCUUGACAGAGAGGAGGCCACUCUCCAUUAAUUUGAAAUGGAGAGUGAGCCCCUCCGUCAGGCUGUGGAUGUGAGUGAAGGUCUUCCACCCAUGGCGAAGGUACAUGACAUGAGGGUCUGGGAACUCGAUUCGGCCCAUGUGCUGCUAUUCCCACAACCCCUCAUGUGCAGCAACAGUGCCUGUGGCGGGUCCAGCUCCAUCUCCCAAGCAAAUGGGGUCGGGAGACGAAGACGAUGGCAUGCCGGCCGGCGCAGCCUGAUAAAGAACUCGUAGGGGCUGUCCCCGGCGUGGCCCUCCACCGGGGGAGAUGCUGUUGGCGGAGGUGAGGCCGACGCGCCGCCCCAUCCUCCUCUUCCCCGAGCACCGCGAUGGCCUAGACCUCGCCCCCUCCCCUUCCUCUAAUGGCUGGCUCCGCCUCCACGAGCUCUUGGGGAGGAGCGACACAUUGUCUGGCAGAGACCCUCGCCGCCACCGAUGAAGCAUCACCACGCCCUCUCGCCAUGACAGAAGGAAGGAGCAGGAAUGGGGAGAGGCGGAUGACGAAGGACUGAGAGGUGUCGUUCCUCCCGCUCCCCUCCUUAUAAAGGACGGGGUCGGGGCUCGGCCGCCCUUUUCAGCCAAUCCAGCUCAUUAAGGUGACAGCGGGCGAGGUUGUCGACCGCCCUCCCCGCCCAAUUGAAGGCGUGUGGGAAUCGACCCACGCGCGCACGACUUCCCGUAUCCCGCGUGCCUGUCAUUCGCUCUGCGUCGUGCAUGCGGCAUACAUGGCGCGAGAGACGGGCGUAAUGGGACGCGUGGAGCGACGGUUCCCAGGUAAAGACAGUAAAUGAGCGGCGGCCCUGCGGUCUCGAAGGGACACGUGAGCCGCCUCUUUACUAUUCACCGCAAGAUGACGCAAGCGUGCUUCGAUCACGCGUGCGCGUGACCCCCAUGUCAUGCAUUCAACGCGGGUCAUAGGGAAGUGCAACGCACGGAGAGCUAUCGCUGUAAAAACCGCCCUGCCUGCUCGCGCACUGUUCUAGGGUGGCCCAACAACGUGUCGCGCUUAUGUGUGGCCCAGGCCUGGGGGCUCCUGUUGGUGUACUAAAGUAGGGGCGCUCCUUUGUACCCCUUAUUUGUGCACGGGCAGUCAGAGCCACGCCCAUGACCAUGCUUAAGCAAGGCAGAGACAAGAAAUCAAAGCCGCGGGACGGCCAAAGCAACGCUAAGACAGAAGGCAUAAAGAGCAAUAAGGCGAAGUGGUUUCCCUUAGAAAGACCCUUGCUGGGGCGGCCUCCACGGCCCCGGCAAGGGCCUUGCCAGGGCAGCCAACCCGACGCCAGCAGGGCGCGCCACCCUUGGUGAUACGGGACGCCUCGGAAACGAUCUUUCACGAUGCCAAAGAAAUCACAAGGAGCAGCAAUAAACUCACUCGAUACUUGUUUCAACAAAUUUUGUUUCUCUCAAGUCGCAAGAACAAGAGGAAACACACUUAGAUAAAUUGCAGCGGAUAACUAGCUGGGUUUACAAGGAUGCAACCCAAACCAUGAAGCCUGUGAACCUAUGAAGAAUCACAAGAGGGAACCACAAGGAUCCUAUAUGAAUUGACGACAGGCACUCCAAUCCACACACACGAGCUAACACUCAAUGAUACUAGUGCUCACAGCACAACACAACCUCACCGGCUAUCUACAAACAUAAACUCAGAAAUCUCAUCCCCCCUCACGUGAAACAGUUGGGGAGUAUUUAUACUAGAAGCACCCACUAGUUAGGUGUGAAAACAACUCAAAAAAAGGGUAAAUUCGUGAGCCCCAAGCUGUAGCAGGAGCAAACUUGUUGAGCCUCGCGCUGUAAUAAAUUCCUGGACAGCUUGCAUGGAAACUUGCACAACUUUUGACUCAAGACCUCAAAUGAUGCACCAUUUUUUUUGAAUGAAAGCUGACUUCUAAGACCAUCUUUUCCAGCCUCUAUAAGGUGCUAGAGACUUCCAGAAUUAAUUAGGUUUAGGUGGGAAGUUGCUGCUAGAAAUCUGAUGUGUCAUUUCUCCCAAAAUAGGCACCGGAAGCUUCCCAACAAAGAUAAUGGUUUUGCCCUUGUCUUCCUUUGGAUGCUCUAAUGGUUCAGCAUCUGUGCUAGCAUUAACCUCACUCUUGGAUGCCUUGGUCAUGAUCUGGUCCACAUCAUCCUCCCUUCCUUCAAACAAAACUAUCCUCGGUUUUGAGGUAUUCUUUUUGGGCUUCUUCACUUAUGGGAAUUGCUCAACCUUGAGUACUUGAUCCACCAUAGGUCCCAAUACAUGGUUCACUCCUUGAUGCACGAAAGAAUACUUGUUAGACCUCCCAUGGUGAGUAGCAUCGUGAUCAAACUGCCAUGGUCUUCCCAAAAGAAGAUGACAAGCUUGCAUUGGCACCACAUCACAUACCACCUUGUCCACAUAACUUCCCACUGAAAAUUGCACCCUAGCACGAUGCAUAAUCUUCAGCUUACCAACACCAUUCAGCCACUUCACAUAAUAUGGCUGGGGCUGCCUCCAUGUUGAUAUCCCAAGAGCAUGCACAAGAUCACUACUAAUGAUGUUGUUGUAGCUGCCUCCAUCGAUGACCACCUUGCAGUUUUUGUCCUUGAUCUUGCAAAUGGAUUGGAACACAUUUUGUCGCUGGCCCUUCUCAACAAUAGGAGCAUCAUCAUGAGCCACUUUGCGAACCAUGAGAUUAACACCAUCUCCUCCAUCUGAACUCAGAGGUGCUCCGGUCUCAAAAGUACAAUAAUUUGCAUCUUUCUUCUCAGAUUCAGAUUUGUCACUUGAGUCAUCGGUGACAUAUCCAUCAUUUGUGAGUAAAACCUUCUUCAGAUUAGGACAAUCCUUCUUGAAGUGACCUCUACCCUUGCAUGUAUGGCACUGAAUAUUACUAAUGCGAGUGGCAGGAGUAUUGGAAGAUUCAACCUUUGAUGCAUUAGCUUCCUUUGUAGUCAUCUUGUUGUGUGAGCGAAAAUCUGCAGCGACACUUCCGUCUACUUCUCGCUGAGCUGAACUUCUCCAAGUGCUUGAUGUAUAGGUUUGGCUGCGAUUUUGGCGACGCUUCAGCUGCUGCUCUACACGAAUAGCUUGAUGCACAAGUUCUUGCAAAUCUUGAUAUGUAGCCAUCUUUAUCCUUUCUUGCACAUCUUCAUUCAAUCCAUGAAAGAAUCUUGACAUUGUGGCCUCCUCUGGCUCAUUCACUGCUGUCCUAAUCAUCAAAAUCUCCAUCUCUUUAUAGUACUCAUCAACACUAGAAUUACCUUGGCACAACCGUUGGAGUCGAUUGUACAAGGUUCUUGUGAAAUGUUUAGGAACAAACCGUCUCCGCAACAGAUUUUUCAUUUGCACCCAUGUCUCCGGACGACCUCCAGCAUGACACAAUUGGUUCCACCAAAUCAAAGCAUAUCCAGUAAACUCAAUGGAUGCAUACCGUACCUUCUUAUCCUCCGUAUAGCGGUGGCUGUCAAAAAUCUGAUCCACACGCAUCUCCCACUCCAAAUAAUCAUCGGGCUCGGUUUUCCCAUUGAACGAUGGUAUGGUAAGUUUGAAUUUACCAAUCCCAUCAUCUUCGUGGUCAUGAUGGGCACGCCCAUGACCUCUUCCUCCCAUGGCAAAGCCUUCUUGGCCUUCUCCGCGAUGAUCAUGAUGAACACGUCGUGGUCGAGGCUCGUAGUAGUUUCGAGCAUCAUCGGAGUGGUCGCUCCAAUGCUCACGAUGGUGGUCCUGCUGUAUGGGGAGUUGUUGAUGUCGACCCCGUGCCGCAAGCCCAUCUCGUGGUGGUGACGGUGGCGCCCAAGUAGCACCUCGCUGGUCGUAGCGAGCACGCCGAGGUGGUGCAGCGUAGUAGCUAUGAGCAUCACCCGAGUAGACGUGGUUGUGCUCUCCAUGCUUCUCCUCAAGGUGGCGUUGGCCCUGCUGUUCGGGGAUUUGUCGAUGUCGACCCCGUGCAGCAAGCCUAUCUCGACGGAGUUCCUCGGUGAGGGAGUCGAUUCUCCGGCCAAGGUUGGUCUCCACGGCCGAUAUGCGCCUCUCCACCUUGUUCAACACAUACUCUCGUGUAUCCUCCAAUGCCAGCACAUAGGCGGGCUGCAAGCUUGGAUCGUACAUGGGAAGUGGCAGCUUCUCCUCCAUGAGGUGCCUACCUCCAUGCACACCAUCAACACUGCUGGAUCUCCUCGAAUCCAUGGAAGCUUCUCAAGAACAAAAUCAGCAAGAGAGAAAAUAGCACCGCGAACAACCUAAAGCUCUGAUACCAAGAUGAUACGGGACGCCUCGGAAACGAUCUUUCACGGUGCCAAAGAAAUCACAAGGAGCAGCAACAAACUCACUCGAUACUUGUUUCAACAAAUUUUGUUUCUCUCAAGUGGCAUGAACAAGAGGAAACACACUCAGAUAAAUUGCAGCGGAUAACUAACUGGGUUUACAAUGAUGCAACCCAAACCAUGAAGCUUGUGAACCUAUGAAGAAUCACAAGAGGGAACCACAAGGAUCCUAUAUGAAUUGAGGACAGGCCCUCCAAUCUACACACAUGAGCUAACACUCAACGAUACUAGUGCUCACAGCACAACACAACCUCACCGGCUGUCUACAAACAUAAACUCAGAAAUCUCAUCCCCCCUCACAUGGAACAACUGGGGAGUAUUUAUACUAGAAGUACCCACUAGUUAGGUGUGAAAACAACUCAAAAAGAAGGGUAAAUUCAUGAGCCCCAAGCUGUAGCAGGAGCAAACUUGUUGAGCCUCGCGCUGUAAUAAAUUCCUGGACAGCUUGCAUGGAAACUUGCACAACUUUUGACUCAAGACGUCACAUGAUGCACUGUUUUUUUUGAAUGAAAGCUGACUUCUAAGACCAUCUUUUCCAGCCUCUAUAAGGUGCUAGAGACUUCCAGAAUUAAUUAGGUUUAGGUGGGAAGUUGCUGCUGGAAAUCUGAUGUGUCAUUUCUCCCAAAAUAGGCACCGGAAGCUUCCCAACAAAGAUAAUGGUUUUUCCCUUGUCUUCCUUUGGAUGCUCUAAUGGUUCUUGGAUGCCUUGGUCAUGAUCUGGUCCACAUCACUUGGGCCCCAGUCUCUCCAGCGUCGCCAACCACGUUGGGACAUAGGCUCGGGAGGCGCCUCCAUGGUGGCAUGCAGAUCUUUAUGAAGACAAGGAACACUUCAAAUCAGAAGAGAAUUAGAAGAUGACGAACCUUGGCGAGACCCUUUCCAAGGAACCCCACAAGACCCUCGGCAAGAUCCUUGCCGGGGACAACCGCAACGCCACGUCAAGACCCUUGCCAGGGCCCCGGCAAGGCCCUUGCUGAGGACGUCCGCGAGGCCACAGCCAGGCCCACACCCGCCAAGCUUCUGCCACCGCUCCCAUGCAGCUGCCAGCCCACCAGCUGGGCAGGCACCUGCGUGUUGACACGAGGCUUCUCGGCCAACUCAGCGCAUGCCUACGUGGUGGCAUGCAAAUCGUCAUGAAGGCCCUACCACUACGCCACCUCCGCAGCCUGCCAGCCUACAUGGCAUAGACCGCCUCGCUGGCCCAGGCGCGUGUCAAGGCAGGGCGAGGUGGCGGUAAAGUGAAGGGACACGUCAGAGGCGCAUUAAAUGUGUCUUGUCCCGUAAUAGCUAGCAAUAGGCUUAACCAUAGUACCCUGAUGCCACCUCCUGUGUGCCACUGUGGCGAUCCCCUUGCCUAUAAAAAGGAGGCCCGAGGCAUCCAGGAGAAGGAUUUGGACUUUUGGACAAGUUACGCUCAUUGUAGCUAGUUCAAGAACCUCAAGAACACAAAUAUACACAUCAAAGCAGGACUAGGAUAUUACGCAUCCCUGCGGCCCGAACCUGGGUAAACGACCCGCGUGCUCGUACUAACUGCUGAUCCUGCUCUCCUCACAACCCAGCGCCCCACAACCGUAGUAGGGAUUCUUGUGAUCCCAUAGGUGUCAUUUCCCACCGACGGUAUUGAGUAGCAUAAUGGAUCUGAACAUUUAAUCUUCCACCAAAUAAACCAAUAACAUCAACUACAAGAUGUAAUCAACACUACUAGCAACCCACAAGUACCAAUCUGAGGUUCUGAUACAAAGAUUGAAUACAAGAGACGAACUAGGGUUUGAGAUGAGAUGGUGCUGGUGAAGAUGUUGACGAAAAUUGGUCCUCCCAUGAUGAGAGGGUUGUUGGUGAUGACGAUGGUUUUGAUUUCCCCCUCCCGGAGGGAAGUUUCCCCGGCAAAAUUGCUCUGCCGGAGAGCAAGAGUGCUCCUGCCCAAGUUCUGCCUCGAGACGGCGGUGCUCCAUCCUGAAUGUCCUUUCUUUAUUUUCUCUAGGGAAAAUGGGCUUAUAUACCAGAAGAUGGGCACUGGAGGCGAGCCAGGGGCCCCACGAGCCACCAGGGCGCGCCCUGGUGCCUCGUGGGUACGUGGGUGGCCCCCUCUGGUAUUUUUAUUCUAGUUUUUUAUUUAUUCCAAAAUAAUUCUCCGUGAAAUUUCAGCUCAUUUGGAGAUGUGCAGAAUAGGUAUCUCUGACAUAGCUUUUCAGGUCCAGAAUUCUAGCUGCCGGCAAUCUCCCUCUUCAUGUAGAGCUCGCAAAUUAAGAGAGAAAGGGCAUUCGAAUUGAUCCGCAAAGUGUUAUAUUGAUUAAAAAACAUUAUAAACAAUAGUAGGAAAACAUGAUGCAAAAUGGACAUAUCAAUGAGCCACCGCCGAAAUCUUUCCUGCUCGUAUGGAUCCUUAGGGACAAUGGAAUCCUCGGGUACAAAGCUAACAUCUUCCUUGGAUUUGGGGAAGUAGUUACUAUCCACCCUGUCCUUGGGAUCUUCAGGGUCCUCAUUAUUGGACCUCCUUGUAGGGUCGUUAACCUGGCCAGGUGUGGCAUUAUUGCCGUUGCCUUGGUGCUCGGCAUUAUCUCGAGUGUUGCCAUCAUUGGUAGCAUCAGUGUUAUUGGACUCGCUCUCCUUGCCUCUACUAGUGCCCUUUCGCUGCCUCCAAGGACGUCGACAUUUGGGAGGAUCUUUCUUCCUUGUCUUCUUUGGGGGGUGUCGACCAUGUACACAUCGUAUGUAGAGGUUGUGGCCCAGUUGCCGGUAUGGGAUAUGGCCAUGGGUGAGGCUGCCCCUAAUAUGUCAUCGACAUCUUGAUCCACAUCGAUCGCCUCGUCAAAGGCAUAGUUCAGUACUUCUAUUAAAUCCUCGACUGUAGUGACUAGGUGGGUGGGGAGAGGGACAUAAAUUCCCUAUUGUCGGCUUCACAUCUGAUUUGAUCAUAGACCGAGGAUGAGAUUGUAAGCUUCUGGAUCCGAUCUAGCAUCUCAUUCAAGUGCGAGAGAUCCUCCGCGUCCAUAGCCUAACUGUAAGCCAGACUAAUUUGAAGUAUGCUUCAUGGGUUGCUUAACGCAACUUCAAAGCUUUGAUAUACUAGGGUUAGCUCUUGAUCGGCGGGAGAAGUGAUCAGAUCCGAGCUCAAAGCCGGUUCCGAAGUGAGGUCUGGCUCAAGGUCAAGAUCUGAUGCGAUAGUGGUCGGAUCCUUACUCAAAGUAGGGUCCAACUCAAGAUCCGCCCCAUAUUCCAGAUCGGAGGUGAGUUCUGGGAUUGAAGCCACGGAGGCCAAGGAGAUCUCAAGCCGAUCUGGACUUCAGCCGGAGAGAGCAAGAUCACGGCGGGAAUUCACAGUGUAUUCCAAGCUACCAAACAUGAUAACUUGAUCCGAGACGAAGCUUUCGACGCGGUCGAGACGACCGGCAGGUGAAAUGAUCUAGAUGAAGACUAGAGGAGGGGUGAAUAUGAGUUUUAAAACAUUUACGGAUUUGGCUUUAUCCUAAUGCGGAAUUAAACUAACGGAUACUUUUCAAGCACAAAUCCCAAAAAUGCUAGGCUCAACUAAGUGCACCAACAACCUAUGCUAAACAAGAUAGGCAAUUAAGCAAACUAGCAAGCACAAACUAUAUCACAAGAUAUGGAAAUGAAGGAACAACUAAGCAAUUCAACUAUCACAAGAUAUAUCAAUAUGGGCAAGUAUGAAUUGCGGAAACUAAAGGGUGUGGGUAUGAGAUAACCACAAGUGAGUCGGGGACGCGGAUUUAUCCCGAAGUUCACACUCGCGAGAGUGCUAAUCUCCAUUAGAGCGGUGCCGUAGCCAAAGCUCCGGGGCGUCACCAAGUGACUCACCGUAUUCUCCCUUUCGAGUCACCCCCAACGGAUGAGCCUCGAUUCACUCGGGGUUGGUCUUCAAGGCGGCCACCACACCUUUACAAACCUCUCCGGAGCACACCACAACCACGGAAGCUUCCGGAGGAACUUGACCACCUAGGCCACUUGAACACCCUUCCUCGGAGCACACCACAAAAGGAAGCUUCCGGGAGAACCUUGGCCACAUAGGCCUCUUCACAAUCUUCUCAAUAUAUCACCAAACCGUCUAGGAGGCGAAGCCUCCAAGAGUAAUAAACUCACGGGCUCUCACACGAACAAAUCGAUGCGGGGAGCUCAAACCAAUACAACAAAUGCAAUGCAAGGUCAAGCAACAAAUUCUCAACUCACUCUCUCAAUCUCACAAGAUGCAACUCAAGAAAGUGGGAGAUUGAAGAGAGGGGAUGCAAUGGAGGAAAUCAACAAAUAACUCCAAGAUCCAUCCACAAAUCACCCUUCACUUAGAAGGGAGAUAGGGGUUUGGGAGAGGUGGUAAGAGGCUCAAAAUGAUGUUUAGAAUGUGAAUGAACAACCCCCAAACCGGUGGGAGGAAGGGCUCUUUUAUAGCCAACUUCCAAAACUAGUCGUUGGGGCUCCAACGGGCACUUCCUGGACACCCCGUGCCCAUGGGGGUUUAGACCCCGUGCCCACGGGGUCCCGUGCACACGGAACAGGCCCGUGUGCACGGGGCCCCGUGCCCAUGGGGGUCAAAAACCCCGUGUCCACGGGGUACCCAGAACAACCUCUAGCAGCCCACUAAAACAGUGAUAACUUUGGCAUACGGACUCCGAAUUCGAUGAUCUUGGGCUUGUUUUGAAGCUAUGGAAAAGCCCAAGGUCCUCACAUAGAGAACCACCCAAGAUCAACAAUAAAUAAUGAUGCAAGUAAUGCAAAGGUUUGAGCUCUCUACAUGCGACAUGAUCAAGCUACUUGCCCGAGAGUCCCUCUUGAUAGUACGGCUAUCAAACCUAUAAUCCAGUCUCCCUCCAAGCACCAUGAGACUGGCAAAACUGGGAAAACCUAGCUAAGGUAUACCUUUGCCUUGCAUAUUCAACUUGAGCUUGGUGAUGACUCCAAUGCUUGUCUCAAGUUGGAAUCCCUUUCUUGUCCACAACCACUUGGUGAAGAUGCUUGAAUUGAUUCCUCAUAUUGCAAUGAGGGAAGCCUUAACUUAAGCCCAUCUCCACAUGAGCAUUAUCAUGAUGUGGACCGCAAGCUUCAAAGCAUAUAACCUCCGGCUUCUCAUCUUGCACUUGGAAUCCUCGAACCCGAUGACCAUCACCACUUGAUGUCAUCCACACAUAGGCUACUUGAGAUCUUUCCUUUUGAUGCAAGCCCAUGAGAAACACCUAACCCACAUAGACAUACCAAACACAUAGCAUGGGUUAGGUAAAAAAGCACAAUUCACAAUUACUUACCAUACCACUAGAUCACUUGAUCUCACGUGGUACAAUGUUUGUGCUUUGAGAGUUGACCACUUAGAUAUAAUCUUUGAGCUUCAUCUUGGUCAACCAACAUCUUUACUCGAAGCUCCAUCUUGGUUUCUUGAAAGCCACAAUGAACUCUUCAUUUCCCUUCAUUGCUUCAAGACUAUAUCACCAAAGACUCUUCCAUGACCAUAUCAAGUUCCACUAUGAAUAUCAUCUUGGUCACCACUUGCCCCUCUAAAAACUCCAUCACAAUCUCUUGAGAGGCAUAAUGAAUUCGUCACUCUAGUUGCUUGCUUCAAGACUUGAUCAACCGAAACCCAACACAUGAUCUCACCAUGAUCUUGUCUUGAGACCAUAACUUGAAUUCUUCUCUUUGAUUACUCUCUCUCAAGCCUUGAUCCUUAGAAGCCCAAAUAUAUCAAUCUUUGAGAUCCUCCAAUGCACUCCAUCAUGAACAUAAUUAGAUUAGGCAUUGAAACCAAUCUUGAUGGCUUCAAUAGAAGUACCCGAAGACCAACUUGAAACCUCACUGGAUAUGGGAUCUCGAGAGCCAACACCUAGGCCAAGUAAGCAUGGGGUAUCCAGAGAGUUGACACUCGACCCCGUGCGCACGGUACAAGCCCGUGUGCACGGGGUAUCCAGAGAAGGAUACCAUGAGGACUUCUUCGGAUGCUUUGAUGGCAGACUUCACAAAACAGCCCAAUGCACUUCAAGCAUCACUAUGGAACAUAUCUUCAUAUAAGAUUCAAUGCACUUGAUGCUCCAUAGGAAUUGUCAUUUAGUACCAAAGCAUAGGGCAAAUAUAUCUUCAUAUAUAUGGACUUCAUCCUUGAUUCUGUCCAAUAUCCUUGAGGCACUAUCUUCAUAUAUAUAUAUAUAUAUAUAUAUAUAUAUAUAUAUGGACUUCAUCCUUGAUUCCGUACAAUAUCCUUGAGGCACUAUCUUCAUAUAUAUGGACUUCAUCCUUGAUUUCGUCCAAUAUCCUUGAGGCACUAUCUAUGGACAAAACCUUCAAAUAUAUCUCACUGAAAACAUUAGUCCAUAGAGAUUGUCAUUUAAUUACCAAAACCACACUUAGGGGCUACAUGCCCUUUCAAUCUCCCCCAUUUUGGUAAUUGAUGACAAUCUCAACAAGAGGGUUUAUAUAAUGAAUUUAAAACAAGUAUGCAAUCUAUCCGAGAAUAAAUUGUAUACUUGAGGUGGUUUUGAUAGCUUCAAACAUCACAAAGAUAGUUGAUGUUAUCAAAACCAGUUGUACUAGCAUCGAAAUACUACACAAGAAUUUGAUGCUAGUAGAACCACAAUAUAUAGAGCAAACUCCCCCACAAUAUAUGCACAGGAAAUAACUUGGUAGAGUUUCCUCUAUAUACACAUCCAUGCAAUGAGCAAGCACAACAAAAGUAGAUAAGCAUGAAUGACAGGAACCAACCCACUUCAUCAAAACCAGUUGUACUAGCGUCAAAAUACUACACAAGAAUUUGAUGCUAGUAGAACCACAAUAUAUAGAGAAAACUCCCCCAGAAUAUAUGCACAGGAAAUAACUUGGUGGAGUUUCCUCUAUAUACACAUCCAUGCAAUGAGCAAGCACAACAAAAGUAGAUAAGCAUGAAUGACAGGAACCAACCCACUUCACCUAAACCCUCUAAACUUCUCCCCCAUUGGCAACAAGUGCCAAAAUGGAAGAAAAAUCUAGACGGCCAAUAUAGUAUGAGUUCCUCCUUAAUUUGUGCAUUUCUCAUAUUAUGAGUGGAAUCAAAUGCACAUAUCCAGUUAUGAACAAACGAAGAAAUUCACACUAUAUUAAGCAUCCAUAGAAUGCACCAAAAUGAUAUGACAAAAGAAUCAAACAUUCAAAGGAUCCAAAGAACAUAUUUUGGACAAGGGAUAAUGGACAUAUCCAAUAUGAUAAUCAUGCUAAGCAUGGGUCCAAAAUAUAUCCACCAACUCAUGAGUGCAAACAUAUGUGCAAAAAAUACAAGCACUCACUCAACAAAUACUAAUCAUGCCAUGAUGCAACACACACAAUGUUGACUCUAACUUGAAUAAAUGCAUGAAGUAAGUACUUGUUACCAAGAGAGAAAGCAUUGGUUCAAGAGGCCCUUGAUCUAGUACGCGAACAUGAGGGACUUGAUCUUGUUCUUGGAUAGGUAUAUGAUCUCCCAUAACAUCUUGCUCUUGUGUUGGGGGUGAUGACUUCCCUUAUGGUCGAUCCACAAGAGGGGCUCUUACUCCUUCUUCUUCUACAUGGACAAGGGGUGUUUCUUGUGGAAGAAUAUGACCAAUCCCCAUUGUACUUGUAGCUUGGGAAGGAGCCUCAUCACCUACAACACUUGAAACAAAUUGCUCCGCAUGGAAGGACUGAACCGGGUUUUCAUUUAUCUUCUCCCCCAAAUCAAAGAAUCAAUCAAGCUUGGCCCUAAUAAUUUCCCACGGUGUCUCCACCUCCUCGUGAAUAAGCCAAGCAUCCAAUGCUUCUCCAAGGUACCUAAAACACAUUAGGGUACAAAAUGGUCCCCAAUGUGACGCCCCCAAUUCAAUCGUACACUAAUCAUGCACGCAAACGUGUACGAUCAAGAUCAGGGACUCACAGGAAGAUAUCACAACACAACUCUAAAACAUAAAUAAGUCAUACAAGCAUCAUAAUACAAGCCAGGGGCCUCGAGGGCUCAAAUACAAAUGCUCGAUCAUAGACGAGUCAGCGGAAGCAACAAUAUCUGAGUACAGACAUAAGUUAAACAAGUUUGCCUUAAGAAGGCUAGCACAAACUGGGAUACAAAUCGAAAGAGGCGCAGGCCUCCUGCCUGGGAUCCUCCUAAACUACUCCUGGUCAUCGUCAGCAGGCUGCAUGUAGUAGUAGGCACCUCCAGCAUAGUAGGAGUCGUCGUCGAAGGUGGGGUCUGGCUCCUGGACUCCAGCAUCUAGUUGCGACAACCAGAAAGAAAGGAAAGGGGGAAAGGGGGGAAGAAAGCAACCAUGAGUACUCAUCCAAAGUACUCGCAAGCAAGGAACUACACUACAUAUGCAUGGGUAUAUGUGUAAGGAGGCCAUAUCAGUGGACUGAACUGCAGAAUGCCAGAAUAAGAGGGGGAUAGCUAGUCCUAUCGAAGACUACGCUUCUGGCAGCCUCCGUCUCGCGGCAUGUAGAAGAGAGUAGAUUGAAGUCCUCCAAGUAGCAUCUCCAAGUAGCAUCUCCAAGUAGCAUCGCAUAGCAUAAUCCUACCCGGCGAUCCUCCCCUCGUCGCCCUGUGGAAAAGCGAUCACCGGGUUGUCUGUGGAACUUGGAAAGGUGUGUUUUAUUAAGUAUCCGGUUCUAGUUGUCAUAAGGUCAAGGUACAACUCCAAGUCAUCCUGUUACCGAAGAUCAUGGCUAUUCGAAUAGAUUAACUUCCCUGCAGGGGUGCACCACAUAACCCAACACGCUCGAUCCCAUUUGGCCGGACACACUUUCCUGGGUCAUGCCCGGCCUCGGAAGAUCAACACGUCGCAGCCCCACCUAGGCACAACAGAGAGGUCAGCACGCCGGUCUAAACCUAAGCGCACAGGGGUCUGGGCCCAUCGCCCUUAGCACACCUGCACGUUGCAUACGCGGCCGGUGAGCAGACCUAGCAACCUCCAUUACAAAGGAAGUUGCGUUAACGCAGUCCAACCCGGCGCGCGCUGCUCAGUCGCUGACGUCAAGAAGGCUUCGGCUGAUACCACGACGCCGGGAUACCCAUAACUACUCCCACGUAGAUGGUUAGUGCGUAUAGACCAAAUGGCCAGACUCAGAUCAAAUACCAAGAUCUCGUUAAGCGUGUUAAGUAUCCGCGAACGCCGAACAGGGCCAGGCCCACCUGUCUCCUAGGUGGUCUCAACCUGCCCUGUCGCUCCGCCACAAAGUAACAGUCGGGGGCCGUCGGGAACCCAGGCCCACCUCUACCGGGAUGGAGCCACCUGUCCUUUCAGCCCCCUCAUCAGAAUCACUUGCGGGUACUCAUCGAGCUGACCCGACUUUAGUCACCAUCUGUAUAGUAUGUAUGUAUGUAUAGUAUAUACCCGUGAUCACCUCCCGAGUGAUCACGGCCCAAUAGUAUAGCAAGGCAGACUGACAAGAAUGUAGGACCAAUGAUGAUAAACUAGCAUCCUAUACUAAGUAUUUAGGAUUGCAGGUAAGGUAUCAACAGAUGUAGCAACAAUGUCAGGCUAUGCAUCAGAAUAGGAUUAACGGAAAGCAGUAACAUGCUACACUACUCUAAUGCAAGCAGUAUAGAGGAGAAUAGGCGAUAUCUGGUGAUCAAGGGGGGGCUUGCCUGGGUGCUCAGACAAGGAGGGGUCGUCGUGACGUAGUCGACCAUAGGGGCAUCAGCAUCGUCACGGGGUCUACCGGAGAGAAGAGGGGGAGAAACAGUAAAUACAUAGCAAGCAAGUGCAUAACAGUACAACAAGCAGAGCUAGACGUGUUCUAACGCGGUAUGAGGUGAUACCGGUGAAGGGGGGAAACAUCCGGGAAAGUAUCCCCGGUGUUCCGUGUUUCCGGACAGAUGAACCAGUGGUGAAAUGUUGCAGGUUCACUAUGCUAGGGACGCGUGGCGGACGAACGGGCUGCGUUUCCGGGUUCGUCUCGUCGUUCUGAGCAACUUUCAUGUACAACGUAUUUUCAUCCGAGCUACGGUUUAUUUUAUAUUAAUUUUAAAAGGAUUUUAUCAUUUUCUAGAAUUAACAGAAUUAAUUUAAUCCUCUAAUGCAUUUAUGACGUCAUCAUGACGUCAGCGGUCAACUCUGGCUGUUGACCUGGUCAACCUGACAUGUGGGUCCCGCAUGUCAUACUUUGUUUAUUCUAAUUAGGAUUUAACUAAUCUAAUUACUUUUUAAUUAAUUAACAAUAGUUAAUUAGGUGAACUAAACAUGAUUAGUUAAGUUAAUUAAUUUAUUUAAUUUAUUUAUUUAUUUAUUUUUAUUAUUAUUUUCAUUCUAAUCUGGGGCUGGCCCCACUGGUCAGGGACCCAGCCCAACCGGGGCGGGCGAACGGGAAACGGGCGCAGUUGAGCGCCCGAUUGGGCGCAGCGAGGCGAGGCCGUGGCCACGGCGGGGCGACGGGCGAGUAGUGGGGCGGCGGACGAGCAGCGGGGGGAGGCAACGGCGACCGCGUGCAGCGGUGGUCGGGGCUGACGGGCACGGCGGGACGUGCGUGUGAAAGCCACAGCCAAGGGCGCGCCCUGGCGCGAGCGUGUGUGUGCGCGACCGGUGGUGGUGAGCACGAGCGCCUAGCGAGCUCUCGUUGCGGCUGUCCGGCGAACUCCAACGACGAAGAAACGGAAAAGGGGGAAACAAGGAGAUCGAGGGGGAGGCUCACAUCGAGCGGCAGGGAACGAGGCAGCGGGGCGCGAGGAGGGCGACGGGGACGACGGUGUCGGAGUGGAGGCAGGCCGUCGAGGAAGACGGGGCCGCUCCAGCAACAGGGUCGGGGAGGCGACGGGAGGCGUGGGGCAUCGACUGCCCAGACCGGAUCCACGCGCGGCAGAAGCUUUGAGGAGGAGGGCGCCAGCGACGAAGGGGUCAGCGCGGCGGUGGCGACGCGAUCGUCGGAGGCAAGCGCGGUCGUGCCCUGAUCCAGAUUGGAUCGGGGGGAGGAGACGAGGGAGCGAGGGGGAGAGAUCGGGGGGGUGGUGAACGUGGGGAGUGGACCGGUUAGGGUUCCGGUCGGGGUGGGGGUUAAGGGGCCAUGGAGGUGGGCCGGCCUGGCAGGGACUUGGCCCAGUUGGGCCGGGGGCUGCUGGGCCGGAGCCCCGGGGGGGUUCUUUCCUUUUGUGUGUGUGUGUGUUAGUUCUGUUUCUGUUUUGAUUCAUUUUCUUAUUUUCUUUUGUGUUUCAUUUCUAGCUUCUUUUAAUUUUUAGUUUUUACAAAAUCACCACUAGUACCUAAAGUAGUAUUUAUAAACAAACUGCUGUCACAUCAAUUCUUAACCCAUAAUAAAAUAUUUUUAAUAUUUUAUAAAAUCCAAUAUGUAUUUGUUUAAUUGUUUUCACUACUGUUUUAAUUAGUUUAGAGCCCUUAAACAUUUUAUCAAGGUUUGGUUUCUCCAUCGUAUUUACACAUGAUUUAUCUGACCCACCUUGAACAUUUUGGUUUCAUUGUUUGAAAACUUUUAUUAUUUGCCUUUAAUUGAAUUUGAAUUUGAAUCGGUUUCGAACUAACACGAGAUUAGCGAUAGUAAUCAAAGUGACGUGGCAUCAUUAGCAGAGAAUUAUUGUAGCUUAAUUAUCCGGGCGUCACAAUUCUCCUCCACUACAAGAAAUCUCGUCCCGAGAUUUAAGAGGGGAGCAAGGGGGAAAGUUCUGGUUACGAUAUUCUAACGGAUCUUCACGAAGAAGUUAAUCCCUUUCGUUGAUGUCUUCUAUUCUUUAUUCCAAUGCAUCAUGAUAAACUUGUCAUCAUUUCUUCGGGAACUCCAUCGUACUUACGAAAGGAUAAGGGGUAGCUCACUACGACAUAAUGCUUUUGAGGGAAACAAUCUGGGGUUAACCCAUGAAUGAGUAUAAGAUUAUCUCUCGAGUUGAACAUAUGAAAUACAUCGAGAGUAAGGUACGAAGGUACAAUAAGAGGUUCCAAGCGGAUAGAUAGUUGCUCGAAGUCUGAACCAAAGUGAGAAAGGGUUCAGAGUAGCGAGAGUAAGUAUUGCGUUUGAUACCAGAAUAGAUCACUAGGACGAUGGCCCGUGAAUUACAUACGAGGCCACGCGCGAGGAAUAACUUUGGGAAUAGGGGGUGUACAGGACAGUCAAGUUUCGAUCCUGUGGAACUGUGGGUUAUGGGCCCACCAUGUGGUUUUUUUUAAUAGGAGCAGUGACAUCUUGCACGGUCAUGAUAACAAGGCAUGUCAGAGAGUACCAUGUCAGUUAUGUCGGCAACAACGUUGGUACCAAGGGCGAGGGACGAAGAGAACCAUUUUCCUGCUCGUUGCAACGAGGCAGACCAAUAGGCAAAGUUCUCGUCCAUCGGUGGCUACCGGAAUGUCAUCAACAAUAGUAACAUGGUCUUGCUGACAGAAUCGUACACUGAGGUGUUUACAUAAACAGGAGAAUAUCACUACUUAGAUCAUAUAGAUCACAAGAAAGGUUAAACCAACCAAUGGAAAGGAAAAUAUGAUUAUCAGAUUAAACAGAAAAAUGGAAAGGAAGAUGUGGUUAAACACAUGUUUUAGGGGUAUAUCCUUCCCAAGGACAAGCAUAGCAUGAUAUCCAUGACAGGAUAUAACGUAGAAAACCAUUUUUAUAAUGGGGAGAGGAAUUUUCAUGACAUUACCCAUACAACGGUGUUUUGGAUAAUUGAUGAAGAAAACAUAACAUUUUGUUGCAAAUGUUCUUAUCGAAGAUCGGAGUAUCACAGACAUGCUUCGAGAUAGCAUUGACAAGGUCUUCAAGCAAAGAUCAGACCUUGGAUACACAAAGGAUCCAUCAGGAAAAACUUAUUAAACAAGUCAUUCAAUUUCCUCAUGGAAGAAUGGUUAACCUUGUUAAAAAGGAAACUAUAACACUAGGUCCUCCGGCCAGGUGUGCUAGGCAUGACAUCACCUUACCAAGUCAUAUGAGGACCAAUGUUAUAACUCCUGAAAAUGUGCUCCAACCAUCAUAUCUGACCGGGAUUCAUAUCUGAUUAGUGUUAGGAUAUCUCAAACUCGGGACACCUGAGAAGAAAAGAUGCAACACAAAUUGACGAGAUGACCAUGUAAGAUUCUCGGGAAAUGAACUAUGGGAGCAAGUUCCGAAACAAGAGCUCAUCAUUAAAUCAAGGAGAGGAUGAGGGGGUAGCUGAUGGAAUCAGCGAGAAUCCUCGAGAUUUCCAAAAAGGUGGAUUUCCACAGUUAUGUGAACAAGGAGACAACAUUUGUCGGAUCAAAUGAUAAAAUGGUGUAUGCUCGAGGAGAACAUACACAGUUAAACAUUGGAUGAGAGGUGCACCCGAAAUAUGGGCUGCGUUGCACGACCAACGUCGGAAUGAUGAUUCAAUAAUCAAUAGUGUAAGAAUGAACGGCCGACCAUUAACUUCAAAGCAAUAGGGUUGCUAGAAGGGCAGAAUCCAAACAGCACCGCUCACUUGUUGGUCCCCCGAUUGGAAUCAACACGAGGACCCAAGAAGAAUGGUGAUGGUGAAAAGUUUCACCAUACCAAGAAUUCUUAAGAGGUGGUGAAAUUCUCACAACAUUGAUGACAUAAGAGAUGUUAAUGUUCCAAGGUAAGGGAGAACAAUUGCUGGAUAGCAAGGAACUCAAGGUAUAACAUCAAACACGAAUAAGCUUGUGUUGGCAGGAAGGCAAUAAAGUGGUCGAAGAUAACGCAGAUCAUCAAGGGCAAGGAUGGUAUUUCUCAUCAUGAACUCAUUUGAUAUCCUGGAAGAGCUCAUGAGGUUGAUGAUGAUCACGACACACUUUGUCGAGAGAUUUCAAGAUGUAAUCGAUCGGCGAUGACAUCAAGUCAAAUGAAUGGUAAAGCAAAAGGUUAUUGGAACCAAGGGUACAACACAAACUCGAAACCAAGCUUGUUGUCCAAGGCGAAAUGAUAUGAUGAGGAAGAUCAACGUAAGCUUAGCUCAUCGUCAAUUAAUUGUGCUACGGGAAGAAGGACCGGGUAGCACAGUUAAAAUUUAACAUGGUAAUGAUAUAGCCGAUCAGGCUAGGAAUGACUUGAAGGAUUAUUAAACUCAUAAUCAACGGAGAUUACUUUAUUGAAUCGGAGUGCGGAAUUGAUUCACUUAUCAAUGUCCUUGAGUGUCUAACAACUCAGAACCCGGGGAAAAUUGGAAUCAGUGAGAUAUAAUACUUGAAGAACUCAUAAUAAGUUAUGCAGUUCCAUGAUAUUCUUGAGAUACCAGAGUUUAAUACUCAAUGGUAGAGCAAAGUAAAGGUUGGACAGGUGCAAUGGUCUGCAGAAGACAAGUACUUCAACUUGUCCAAGAAAUGGUAUUUUAAAAGGAGAACAUGGCCGGAACCACGAUUGCAAAAGGCCGAAUCCCAGAUAUAAGAACUUAUACCAAAGAGGGUUUAAGAGGAGCAUCCAUGAUAAGAUUAGCAUCGUGUCCAUGGGCAUGAACACAAAGUUCAAGGUCGACUCCCACUUCUCCAAUGCAUGACCAUUCAUUCACUUCUCUAUUAAAAUGAGUUGAUUGUGAAACCUACCUAGUGAAUUACCAGAGGAGUAUGACCCGUGAAAAAUUUCGGGUUCACACAGAUUAAGGAAGGCAUAUGUUCAACCCCUUGGGGCAUCGUGGAAACAUAUACCACAAGCUUCAAUAGUAAAUAUCACCAGCUCGAAAGCAGAGCAUGGUUGGCCAAAUCAGAGAAUAGGAUUUACCAACGACAUUAUGUAUCAGGGAAAGAACUUCCAAAGUGAUUGAAUAUGAGGGACGUUGUCGGGUAAAAUCCAACAAAGGAUCCGAUGGUUCUCAAGGGAUCUGAUGUAAGCAUCGGUACUCAAACAGAGGAAGAAACAAUGCAAAGGCAUUUGAUUCUAGAAACAACUAACUAAUUAAAGCUUAAUGCAAAGAAAUUUUAUGAUUUCCAAAUCAAGGGAUCAGAAGCAAUCGUUCUGAUUGAAAAAUGAAUAAGUUCAAUAGACUUACAAGCACAACCGAUCAAGGCAUUGAUUGGUCAAGAACCAACUCAUGUUUAAAAUGACGUCUGAGCCAAAAAGAUAAUUUAAAAGGAUCAACUGAUGAUUGCGUGCAUUCGCACUCAUGUUGAAUCAAAAGGAUCAAAAUGACGGUGCCUAAGGAUACUAACAAAUAUUGCCAGACAUAUGGAAAGCAUCCAUCAUGCAACUAGAUCAGUAUUGCAGAGCAAUAAGCUACUAAGGAUUUUUGGAGGAUCGAAUAGUAUUUCGGAGACCAUUGUGAAACACAUGAACAACUGGGGGAUGAGCGGAUACUCGAUAAGUGCGAGAAUUAUCCGUAGGGGUAUUCAGGUGACAAGGAACAGCAAGGCAGUAAGCUCAAAGGAUUAUCGAAACAACGACGGGUGUUUCGGGGUGUCUUGUAAUAACAAGACCAACCGGGGAUUAAUGUAAGAAUAACAACUGCAAGUAGUUAUCUAUAAGGGUUGACGGUGGAAGGGGAAUUGCAAACGCGAUGAACACAAGUUCUCGGGUUAAUAGCGGAGAGCAUCUUCAGGGUCUUCAUGUGUAGCAGAUGAUCAUCAGUAUUAAGGGACUCUCCAGGUGAAAGUGAUAACGAGAUCCUAAUGUUAGAUUUAGCAAAAUUCAUUUAACCCGAAUAGAAGAGAGAUCAGAGUCCCAGAGUAUAGACAAGGAGUAAAAGAUCCUAAUAUCACCCAAUGGCGACGUGGGCCCGUAAGGCACACAGCCAUGUUAGUAAAAGUUUUGCAAUGACUAGACUCGACUUCGGCCAAGGAGUAUGGAAGGGGGAUUCCUACAGGCAGUCGGCUCUGAUACCAACUUGUGACGCCCCCGAUUCAAUCGUACACUAAUCAUGCACGCAAACGUGUACGAUCAAGAUCAGGGACUCACGGGAAGAUAUCACAACACAACUCUAAAACAUAAAUAAGUCAUACAAGCAUCAUAAUACAAGCCAGGGGCCUCGAGGGCUCGAAUACAAAUGCUCGAUCAUAGACGAGUCAGCGGAAGCAACAAUAUCUGAGUACAGACAUAAGUUAAACAAGUUUGCCUUAAGAAGGCUAGCACAAACUGGGAUACAAAUCGAAAGAGGCGCAGGCCUCCUGCCUGGGAUCCUCCUAAACUACUCCUGGUCGUCGUCAGCGGGCUGCACGUAGUAGUAGGCACCUCCAGCGUAGUAGGAGUCGUCGUUGAAGGUGGCAUCUGGCUCCUGGACUCCAGCAUCUGGUUGCGACAACCAGAAAGAAAGGAAAGGGGGAAAGGGGGGAAGAAAGCAACCGUGAGUACUCAUCCAAAGUACUCGCAAGCAAGGAACUACACUACAUAUGCAUGGGUAUAUGUGUAAGGAGGCCAUAUCAGUGGACUGAACUGCAGAAUGCCAGAAUAAGAGGGGGAUAGCUAGUCCUAUCGAAGACUAUGCUUCUGGCAGCCUCCGUCUCGCAGCAUGUAGAAGAGAGUAGAUUGAAGUCCUCCAAGUAGCAUCUCCAAGUAGCAUCUCCAAGUAGCAUCUCCAAGUAGCAUCGCAUAGCAUAAUCCUACCCGGCGAUCCUCCCCUCGUCGCCCUGUGGAAAAGCGAUCACCGGGUUGUCUGUGGAACUUGGAAGGGUGUGUUUUAUUAAGUAUCCGGUUCUAGUUGUCAUAAGGUCAAGGUACAACUCCAAGUCGUCCUGUUACCGAAGAUCACGGCCAUUCGAAUAGAUUAACUUCCCUGCAGGGGUGCACCACAUAACCCAACACGCUCGAUCCCAUUUGGCCGGACACACUUUCCUGGGUCAUGCCCGGCCUCAGAAGAUCAACAUGUCGCAGCCCCACCUAGGCACAACAGAGAGGUCAGCACGUCGGUCUAAACCUAAGCACACAGGGGUCUGGGCCCAUCGCCCUUAGCACACCUGCAUGUUGCGUACGCGGCCGGUGAGCAGACCUAGGAACCUCCAUUACAAAGGAAGUUGCGUUAACGCAGUCCAACCCGGCGCGCGCCGCUCAGUCGCUGACGUCAAGAAGGCUUCGGCUGAUACCACGACGCCGGGAUACCCAUAACUACUCCCACGUAGAUGGUUAGUGCGUAUAGACCAAAUGGCCAGACUCAGAUCAAAUACCAGAUCUCGUUAAGCGUGUUAAGUAUCCGCGAACGCCGAACAGGGCCAGGCCCACCUGUCUCCUAGGUGGUCUCAACCUGCCCUGUCGCUCCGCCACAAAGUAACAGUCGGGGGCCGUCGGGAACCCAGGCCCACCUCUACCGGGAUGGAGCCACCUGUCCUUUCAGCCCCCUCAUCAGAAUCACUUGCGGGUACUCAUCGAGCUGACCCAACUUUAGUCACCAUCUGUAUAGUAUGUAUGUAUGUAUAGUAUAUACCCGUGAUCACCUCCCGAGUGAUCCCGGCCCAAUAGUAUAGCAAGGCAGACUGACAAGAAUGUAGGGCCAAUGAUGAUAAACUAGCAUCCUAUACUAAGUAUUUAGGAUUGCAGGUAAGGUAUCAACAGAUGUAGCAACAAUGUCAGGUUAUGCAUCAGAAUAGGAUUAACGGAAAGCAGUAACAUGCUACACUACUCUAAUGCAAGCAGUAUAGAGGAGAAUAGGCGAUAUCUGGUGAUCAAGGGGGGGCUUGCCUGGUUGCUCAGACAAGGAGGGGUUGUCGGUGACGUAGUCGACCAUAGGGGCAUCAGCAUCGUCAUGGGGUCUAUCGGAGAGAAGAGGGGGGAGAAACAGUAAAUACAUAGCAAGCAAGUGCAUAACAGUACAACAAGCAGAGCUAGACGUGUUCUAACGCGGUAUGAGGUGAUACCGGUGAAGGGGGGAAACAUCCGGGAAAGUAUCCCCGGUGUUCCGUGUUUCCGGACAGAUGAACCGGUGGUGAAAUGUUGCAGGUUCACUAUGCUAGGGACGCGUGGCGGACGAACGGGCUGCGUUUUCGGGUUCGUCUCAUUGUUCUGAGCAACUUUCAUGUACAACGUAUUUUCAUCCGAGCUACGGUUUAUUUUAUAUUAAUUUUAAAAGGAUUUUAUCAUUUUCUAGAAUUAACAGAAUUAAUUUAAUCCUCUAAUGCAUUUAUGACGUCAUCAUGACGUCAGCGGUCAACUCUGGCUGUUGACCUGGUCAACCUGACAUGUGGGUCCCGCAUGUCAUACUCUGUUUAUUCUAAUUAGGAUUUAACUAAUCUAAUUAAUGUUUAAUUAAUUAACAAUAGUUAAUUAGGUGAACUAAACAUGAUUAGUUAAGUUAAUUAAUUUAGUUUAUUUAUUUAUUUAUUUAUUUUUAUUAUUUUUUUAUUCUAAUCUGGGGCUGGCCCCACUGGUCAGGGACCCAGCCCAACCGGGGCGGGCGAACGGGAAACGGGCGCAGUUGAGCGCCCGAUUGGGCGCAGCGAGGCGAGGAUGUGGCCACGGCGGGGCGACGGGCGAGUAGUGGGGCGGCGGACGAGCAGCGGGGGGAGGCAACAGUGACCGCGUGCAGCGGUGGUCGGGGCUGACGGGCACGGCGGGACGUGUGUGUGAAGGCCACAGCCAGGGGGCGCGCCCUGGCGCGAGCGUGUGUGUGCGCGACCGGUGGUGGUGAGCACGAGCGCCUAGCGAGCUCUCGUUGCGGCUGUCUGGCGAACUCCGGCGACGAAGAAACAGAAAAGGGGGAAACAAGGAGAUCGAGGAGGAGGCUCACAUCGAGCGGCAGGGAACGAGGCAGCGGGGCGCGAGGAGGGUGACGGGGACGACGGUGUCGGAGUGGAGGCAGGCCGUCGAGGAAGACGGGGCCGGUCCAGCAACAGGGUCGGGGAGGCGACAGGAGGCGUGGGGCAUCGACUGCCCAGACCGGAUCCACGCGCGGCAGAAGCUUUGAGGAGGAGGGCGCCGGCGACGAAGGGGUCAGCGCGGCGGCGGAGACGCGGUCGUCGGAGGCAAGCGCGGUCGUGCCCUGAUCCAGAUUGGAUCGGGGGGAGNNNNNNNNNNNNNNNNNNNNNNNNNNNNNNNNNNNNNNNNNNNNNNNNNNNNNNNNNNNNNNNNNNNNNNNNNNNNNNNNNNNNNNNNNNNNNNNNNNNNNNNNNNNNNNNNNNNNNNNNNNNNNNNNNNNNNNNNNNNNNNNNNNNNNNNNNNNNNNNNNNNNNNNNNNNNNNNNNNNNNNNNNNNNNNNNNNNNNNNNNNNNNNNNNNNNNNNNNNNNNNNNNNNNNNNNNNNNNNNNNNNNNNNNNNNNNNNNNNNNNNNNNNNNNNNNNNNNNNNNNNNNNNNNNNNNNNNNNNNNNNNNNNNNNNNNNNNNNNNNNNNNNNNNNNNNNNNNNNNNNNNNNNNNNNNCGAGGGGGAGAGAUCGGGGGGGUGGUGAACGUGGGGAGUGGACCGGUUAGGGUUCCAGUCGGGGUGGGGGUUAAGGGGCCAUGGGGGUGGGCCGGCCUGGCAGGGACUUGGCCCAGUUGGGCCGGGGGCUGCUGGGCCGGAGCCCCGGGGGGGUUCUUUCCUUUUUUUGUGUGUGUGUUAGUUCUGUUUCUGUUUUGAUUCCUUUUCUUAUUUUCUUUUCUGUUUCAUUUCUAGCUUCUUUUAAUUUUUAGUUCUUACAAAAAUCACCACUAGUACCUAAAGUAGUAUUUAUAAACAAACUGCUGUCACAUCAAUUCUUAACCCAUAAUAAAAUAUUAUUAAUAUUUUAUAAAAUCCAAUAUGUAUUUGUUUAAUUGUUUUCACUACUGUUUUAAUUAGUUUAGAGCCCUUAAACAUUUUAUCAAGGUUUGGUUUCUCCAUCGUAUUUACACAUGAUUUAUCUGACCCACCUUGAACAUUUUGGUUUCAUUGUUUCAAAACUUUUAUUAUUUGCCUUUAAUUGAAUUUGAAUUUGAAUCGGUUUCGGACUAACACGAGAUUAGCGAUAGUAAUCGAAGUGACGUGGCAUCAUUAGUAGAGAAUUACUGUAGCUUAAUUAUCCGGGCGUCACACCCAAACAUAUUGGGUCCGAAGUAGUAAGCACAACCACAAUACAUAGGGCAAACUCCACAAUAAGUAUGUGCAAAAGGAUAUGAAAAUGAAUUUCAUGCACACCUUUAACCAUUAAUUAUAUUAUGGAGUUUACCCUAUAUAGAGGAUCAAGAGAGCAAGCAAGGCAUGAAGAAGUAUAUAAAUAAAUAUGCAUGCACAUGCCUACCAAGAUCCAAGGAGAUACAAUUUUGGACAAGAGAACACUUAAACAAAGAAUACUCCAAAAAUAACAUAAAGCAUUCAAGUUGUUCAAAUUAUAUCAAAGAGACGAAUCCACACAGGACCGCAAGAAAAGUACAACAUAUGAACUAAGCAAAAACCAAAGAGCAUAUAGGAUAUACAUUACACACAUGCUCAAAGGCUUAUAUCACUCAAGUAGAUAAUAGAUAGUACAAGGAGUGAGAUAAGGCAAGUUGAAGCACAAGCCGAGAAGAAGAUGAUCAUAAAAUUCUACCACAAGAAGAAAUACCAAUUGGUAUUUGGAAUUAACACUCGGUGGUAGAAUCCGAAGAAGCACAAGAUCAUAACCAACAAACACCCCGUGCGCACGGGGGUCAAAAGACCCCGUGCACACGGGGUAUCCAGGGAGUUAUGCAGUACCCGUGCGCACGGGGGUCAAAAGACCCCGUGCGCACGGGGUACCCAGAGAGUUACGCAACACCCCAUGCGCACGGGGGUCAAAAGACCCCGUGCGCACGGGGUAUCCAGAACUUUUCUGGUGUAACUUUCUGGAUACCACGGCAGGCAUACAACAGAGGCAAAUAACCACCUAAAAGAGAUAACUAAUGGAUACUCUGAGAAACAGAAUUUCAAAUGAGCUUGACAUACCACAUAGUGACUAGAUAAUAUUGAGUAUCAAUACUAUGUGGUAUUUCUCAUAUUCACAUUUUGGGUUUGUGAUGUGCACAAAACAUAACACUCCCCCAUAAUGUGAUGAUCCACUAAUAUCUCGCAAGAGCCAAGCAACAUACAAAUAAGGCUCAAGACAACAAGCAUCACUAUAUGAUGUGCAAUGCAACCUACACAUGCUAGAAAACACAAAUCAAGCAUACUAGGAAGCACAACAUAUAAAUGCACAUGCUAGAUACAAAACCUAAGCAAGCAAGGGGCGAGUAACUUUCAAUGUAAGCAAUACAAAUACAAGUUACCACAAGGAGGAACACUGGAUAGAUAAUAUGAAGAUAAUCCACAUGACUUGGCUCGAACAAAUAAAUGGUGAAUAUUCUUUUCUUCAUGAACUAGCCAAAUCUCCAAUGUCCUCCACACACCUAUUGAUCAAGGUUGAGCUUGAUGGUCCCCAACCAAGUUGGGUCCUAAGAAGUUAGACACAAUAGGCUUGGCAACCCAAAUGGCCUCUUCCAUUUCCAAACCACUUUGGGCGCCAACAAACUUGGCAAACAAAUUGCCAACAACAUCCUUCCUAAGCAAAUAAUGAUCAUUGACUAGAGGAGGCUUAGGGAUGUUACCGUUGGGACAAGAUGAAGAUAUGUGUCCCUUCUCACGACAAAUAUAGCAACAUGUGCUCCCCCUUCUCUUCUUUUUUACUUUCUCAAUUUGGGGAGCAUUUCCUUGGUUCAUUAUUGGUAGUGGCCUUUCUUCAGCUUGAGGUUGACCUUGAGAUUGAACUUGAGGUUGACCUUGAGAUUGGACUUGAGGCCGCUUCCCUUGUUGCUUCACAUUUGAAGCCUUCUUCUUCAAUGGACAAGAUCUCACAUGGUGUCCAACAUUCUUGCACUUGAAGCAUGUGAUGUUGGCCGGAUUCUUGACUUGGUCUUGUUCCUUAUUCCUUUUCUCGGACUUCUUGUUGUUGGAGAUGAAACCAAGUCCACCCUUGUCAUGAGGGGAUUUUUGACCACUCAAAAUAUUGUUGAGAGUGGAAUUUCCUUCAUGACACAUUUCCAAGUCUUUCUUCAAAAUAGUGACUUGAGCCUUGAGCUCUUUGUUUUCCUCUACAAGGUUAGUAUCAACAAAAGUACUAGAGAAGUAGAAACUUCAUUAUUAGAGCAACAAGGCAAUGAGAGCAAUUCAUCACAAGAAUCAGCUAUAAUAUUUCUAGAUGAAUUACUAGGACUAGCACAUGUCAAUAAAUCAUUUUGAGUAAAUAUAGUGCUAAUGUCCACAUGAGGCUCACGAGAUGUUACCUUAGUCACAAUAGCCUCAUGAGCUAACUUUAGCCUUUCAUGGGAGAUUAGAAGGUCAUCAUGAGAGCCCGAGAGCUUUUUAUGACUUUCUUCUAAUUUCCCAUAAUUGCUAGUUAGCAAAACAAGUUGAGCCCUUAGCUCAACAUUCUCCUUCAAGAUAGAUGCUUCACAAGAAGUAGAGUUAGUAGCACAAGCAUCAUUGACAAUAUGAGAGGAGCUAGAAGAAAUUAGAGACUUCACAUGAGUAGCUUGAAGUUCCUCAUAAGACUUAGAGAGUUUGGUGAGCUCUCCUUUGACAUUCUUGUAGACAAGGUCAAGGUGCUCAAAAUCCUCUUUAAGUUGAUCAUGAGCAACUUCAAUCUCUUCUUUAGAAGACUCUAAGUCUCUAAGAGUUUCUAGAGCAUCAAGAAGGUUACAAUCAAGUUUUCCAUUUUGUUCUUGCUCUUCGUGAAGUAAAUCAUUACACUUUCCAAAAUGAGUGAUAAGAUCUUUAAACAUCUCAUAAGUGUUCUUAUUUACCCCACGAAGAGAAUUACCAAUUUCAUAUAUUUCUUGACUCAUAUCCCUAUCACAUUCAUCAUUACUCUCAUCAAUAUCAUUACAAAGAGUAGAUGAUACCUCAGUAUUACCUCUUGCCAUGAGGCACAUGUGAACAUCGGAGGUUGAUGAUGAUUCUUUUGGAGAGGGAGUUUCUUUAUCAUCAAGAGUAGGGUAUCCAUGUCCAUGCUCUUGACACUCAUAGCAUUUCCUCUCCAACAAGGUGAUGUCCUUCUUUGCUCCUCUAGCAAUUUCCUCAUUAAUGAUGUGUGCACUAUUUUCUCUUGUUUCCUCUACAUGGUUAGUCAAACAACAACUAGAGGAAAUAGAAGCACAUAGAUCAUGGAAACAAGGAGUAUCAAGCAUAUCAUCACAAAAGGUAUUCAAGGAAUCUCCAAAUGAUAUGCAUGGACUAUCAGCACAAGAAUGUAAGUCAUUUUUGCUAGAUAUGCUCAAGUCCAUAGAAUCUACAACACUACCAUGUAUACAUGUAAGAUCAUCAAUGUUGAGCACAUCAUCACAAUCAUCACAAAUGAUAUUUUCACUCACCAUGUCAUUACCUUGGGACAUGCCACAUGAUGGUGAGGCGGAAGAAGUUGAAAUGUCCAAGUACACGGAGGAAGAAGCAAUAUGGAGAUCUUCAUGAUUUGAAGAUGUGGAGACCUCCUCGAUUAGCUCCUCCGGAAGAUGAUGAACAUCAACAAGAUUGGACCCACCAUAUAUUUCUUCAAGUUUGGUCCACGUAUCAUGAGCCGUCAGACAAGUCAUGAUAGACUCAAAUACUUUGAGGGAUAUAAACCGGAUUAUGGCAUUCUUAGCACUAUAUCCACAAAGCAUAUCAUCAUUUUCCUCACUAGUUGGAAAAAGGUCGUCCUUCCACGGAGAAGCCCCUACAAGAACAAUUCGCACAAAACAUGGACCCAUGGUCCGAAAAUGACAAAGCAUGUGAAUUUUCCACAAGUGAUAGUUUGUGCCACUAAAACAAAAGGUGUCAUCGUGCACUAUACCACUAGUCGACAUCUUUACUCUCUAGGCGGUGAAGCCUACCAAGGAGAGACCAAAGCUCUGAUACCAAUUGAAAUGAUCUAGAUGACGACUAGAGGGGGGGUGAAUAUGAGUUUUAAAACUUUUACGGAUUUGGCUUUAUCCUAAUGCGGAAUUAAACUAACGGAUACUUUUCAAGCACAAAUCCCAAAAAUGCUAGGCUCAACUAAGUGCACCAACAACCUAUGAUAAACAAGAUAGGCAAUUAAGCAAACUAGCAAGCACAAACUAUAUCACAAGAUAUGGAAAUGGAGGAACAACUAAGCAAUUCAACUAUCACAAGAUAUAUCAAUAUGGGCAAGUAUGAAUUGCAGAAAGUAAAGGGUGUGGGUAUGAGAUAACCACAAGUGAGUCGGCGACGCGGAUUUAUCCCGAAGUUCACACUCGUGAGAGUGCUAAUCUCCGUUAGAGCGGUGCCUUAGCCAAAGCUCCGGGGCGUCACCAAGUGACUCACCGUAUUCUCCCUUUCAAGUCACCCCCAACGGAUGAGCCUCGAUUCACUCGGGGUUGGUCUUGAAGGCGACCACCACACCUUUACAAACCUCUCCGGAGCACACCACAACCACGGAAGCUUCCGGAGGAACUUGACCACCUAGGCCACUUGAACACCCUUCCUCAGAGCACACCACAAAAGGAAGCUUCCGGGAGAACCUUGGCCACAUAGGCCUCUUCACAAUCUUCUCAAUAUAUCACCAAACCGUCUAGGAGGCGAAGCCUCCAAAGUAAUAAACUCACGGGCUCUCACACGAACAAAUCGAUGCGGGGAGCUCAAACCAAUGCAACAAAUGCAAUGCAAGGUCAAGCAACAAAUGCUCAACUCACUCUCUCAAUCUCACAAGAUGCAACUCAAGAAAGUGGGAGAUUGAAGAGAGGGGAUGCAAUGGAGGAAAUCAACAAAUGACUCGAAGAUCCAUCCAAAAAUCACCCUUCACUUAGAAGGGAGAUAGGGGUUUGGGAGAGGAGGUAAGAGGCUCAAAAUGAUGUUUAGAAUGUGAAUGAACAACCCCCAAACCGGUGGGAGGAAGGGCUCUUUUAUAGCCAACUUCCAAAACUAGCCGUUGGGGCUCCAACGGGCACUUCCUGGACACCCCGUGCCCACAGGGUCCCGUGCGCACGGUACAGGCCCGUGUGCACGGGGCCCCGUGCCCACGGGGGUCAAAAACCCCGUGUCCACGAGGUACCCAGAACAGCCUGCAGCAGCCCACUAAAACAGUGAUAACUUUGGCAUACGGACUCCAAAUUCGAUGAUCUUGGGCUUGUUUUGAAGCUAUGGAAAAGCCCAGGGUCCUCACAUAGAGAACCACCCAAGAUCAACAAUAAAUAAUGAUGCAAGUAAUGCAAAGGUUUGAGCUCUCUACAUGCGACAUGAUCAAGCUACUUGCCCGAGAGUCCCUCUUGAUAGUACGGCUAUCAAAUCUAUAAUCCGGUCUCCCUCCAAGCACCAUGAGACCGGCAAAACUAGGAAAACCUAGCUAAGGUAUACCUUUGCCUUGCAUAUUCAACUUGAGCUUGGUGAUGACUCCAAUGCUUGUCUCAAGUUGGAAUCCCUUUCUUGUCCACAACCACUUGGUGAAGAUGCUUGAAUUGAUUCCUCAUAUUGCAAUGAGGGAAGCCUUAACUUAAGCCCAUCUUCACAUGAGCAUUAUCAUGAUGUGGACCGCAAGCUUCAAAGCAUAUAACCUCCGGCUUCUCAUCUUGCACUUGGAAUCCUCGAACCCGAUGACCAUCACCACUUGAUGUCAUCCACACAUAGGCUACUUGAGAUCUUUCCUUUUGAUGCAAGCCCAUGAGAAACACCUAACCCACAUAGACAUACCAAACACAUAGCAUGGGUUAGGUAACAAAGCACAAUUCACAAUUACUUACCAUACCACUAGAUCACUUGAUCUCACGUGGUACAAUGUUUGUGCUUUGAGAGUUCACCACUUAGAUAUAAUCUUUGAGCUUCAUCUUGGUCAACCAACAUCUUUACUCGAAGCUCCAUCUUGGUUUCUUGAAAGCCACAAUGAACUCUUCAUUUCCCUUAAUUGCUUCAAGACUAUAUCACCAAAGACUCUUCCAUGACCAUAUCAAGUUCCAAUAUGAAUAUCAUCUUGGUCACCACUUGCCCCUCUAAAAACUCCAUCACAAUCUCUUGAGAGGCAUAAUGAAUUUGUCACUCUAGUUGCUUGCUUCAAGACUUGAUCAACCGAAACCCAACACAUGAUCUCACCAUGAUCUUGUCUUGAGACCAUAACUUGAAUUCUUCUCUUUGAUUACUCUCUCUCUCAAGCCUUGAUCCUUAGAAGCCCAAAUAUAUCAAUCUUUGAGAUCAUCCAAUGCACUCCAUCAUGAACAUAAUUAGAUUAGGCAUUGAAACCAAUCUUGAUGGCUUCAAUAGAAGUACCCGAAGACCAACUUGAAACCUCACUGGAUAUGGGAUCUCGAGAGCCAACACCUAGGCCAAGUAAGCAUGGGGUAUCCAGAAGUUGACACUCGACCCCGUGCGCACGGUACAAGCCCGUGUGCACGGGGUAUCCAGAGAAGGAUACCAUGAGGACUUCUUCGGAUGCUUUGAUAGCAGACUUCACAAAACAGCCCAAUGCACUUCAAGCAUCACUAUGGAACAUAUCUUCAUAUAAGAUUCAAUGCACUUGAUGCUCCAUAGGAAUUGUCAUUUAGUACCAAAGCAUAGGGCAAAUAUAUCUUCAUAUAUAUGGACUUCAUCCUUGAUUCUGUCCAAUAUCCUUGAGGCACUAUCUUCAUAUAUAUAUAUAUAUGGACUUCAUCCUUGAUUCCGUCCACUAUCCUUGAGGCACUAUCUUCAUAUAUAUGGACUUCAUCCUUGAUUCCGUCCAAUAUCCUUGAGGCACUAUCUAUGGACAAAACCUUCAAAUAUAUCUCACUGAAAACAUUAGUCCAUAGAGAUUGUCAUUUAAUUACCAAAACCACACUUAGGGGCUACAUGCCCUUUCAGCAGGGUUAGCACGAAGAACAACACUGUCGAACGCGAGGAGUUGGCUGGGGACAAAGAUGUCCCUGCAGUCGAUGUUGUUAUUGAUCUGGAGGCGAGCCAUCGUUCUUUUAUGACCACAUAGCGGGACCUGCAUGGACCACCAAUGUCGGUACUAAAACCGGCAAAUCUCGGGUAGGGGGUCCCGAGCUGUGGAUCUAAAACGAUGGGUAACAAGAGACAAGGGACAUGAUGUUUUACCGUUCGGGCCCUCUCAAAUAGGUAAAACCCUACGUCCUGCUUUGAUUAUAUUGAUGAUGGAGUAUCAGUACAGGAUGAUCUACCUCGAGGUCGUAUGUUGUGUUCGAUACUCUAAGGCUGGUAAUUGUAAUUAUGCCUCUACGGAGUAAAACCCCAUGGUUUAUAUAGGCACCGGGGAGAUCUAGGGUUACAUAUGGUUUGUUACCAACUAGGAAUAAACACGCGGACAACUGGAGUUAUCCUUGAAGUAUACGCCAAGUCUUUGGCAGUGUCCAUCUUGAUCACGCCUGGGUUCGAGGCUUCCAGAGUCCUUGCUUAUUGAGAUCGGCGGGCCGUAAGAUCAACCCAUGGACUGCAUACCAACUAGGUUGGUACCCCCUAGUGCAGGACAACCCUAAGCGAUGGAUAUGGCAACAUAGUUUUGUUUCUUAGAUGCCCGGCAAGUCCGGAGGUGGACUUGUUAUCUAGUACCUUGUAACUUGCAUCGUUCAAAUAUGAAAAACCCAAAAUUCAAAGGCCGCACCCUAGAAUAUCAAAGCCCUAAUUUGGUUAUUUAAAAAUGUUACACUACACAUUAUCAUGAGUCCACAUUUAUAACCCAUAUUGCCAACAAAAUACUCUGAUUUCAUACUUAAAAUCCUACUCUCCAUCAUAUUUUUCCAGAUGUCUAUAUAUAGUAGACAUUUAUAACAUACUUCAAAAAGAUUUACCCGAGGGAGUAUAAAUACCGCACCUUUAGCCCAGGCUAAACAAAAGCAAAGUGAGAGAAGUCAUCUACAACAUUAUUUACAAAUAGAGAGGGGAAAAGAGGAUGGAGAAGAUAGGGGAAUUGAAUAGCAUUCUUGUUCAUGUGUACCGCACAAACUUCAUCCACCUAGCCUUCGUGCUCCUGUAUCCUCCAGACCCCCCUGAAACCCUAACCACCUUUCCUGACUAAAUAUUUCCAUCGUUCUCAUAUUCGGGCGGCACGCGAACUCCUCUUUGGUCCCUUGAUGGCGCCAGGGGGUGCAGAUGGAAAUAGGGCGAUGGUUGCUCGACAUCGGAGCAUGCUUCGUCUCGUACCUAGAGUCCAAUAGUGGGGUUCUUUUGUUACUCGAGGUGAGCAUACCGACAAACUUGAACAUCCGCCCUGGCUUUGCCUAUUAUCAUUAUUCUUACAUCCACCAGUUUUUACUUUCUAGAUGAAGGUAGAGGUAUGUUGCCCCGGGGCCCUAUAUAGAACCGAUGCACAAAGCCACAAAAAAGUGCCUAGUUUUGGUUAGGUAGUCACAAAGACGGGGUUACCCAUGCUAAUAUCUAUUGUUAAUCUUUAUAUGUACUUUGUAGUCUACCCUUGCUAAGUUACUCAUGUAACUUGGGUUGCAAGAAGUGGUUGCUAUUUUGAUUGAUAUAAUCCUAGAUUUGUUGCAGACAUCUGGUUGUCCAGGGUGGUCCAGCCGUCGCCUGAGAGUAUGACAAUGCUCUUCAACCCAUGACGAAUGCUUUCAUUAGAAUGGAUCUACUAAACCACCCUCACUUGGGCGGCUUUAAUUGGUAUCGUCAGUUGCUUAACAAAGAUUACCAGGGUCUUCGCACUAGAGGUCCCAUGUGAGGAUGAGGGUGAGUCUUCUUCUCAUGUUGAAAUAGCGUGGACCACAUGCACCUUCCCUUCUUGUUUACGUGGCUUCAGGUGUGUUUACACUAGUUGUGAACACUUUCUGUAAGUUGGUGUUUGCAAAGAGGGGUUUGAUGCUUGAGCCCAUUGCUAUGGUCAUGUCAUUUUUUAUGUUAGAUCUUGACUGUGAUGACAUCAAGACAAAUAAUGUGACUUUUGCAAUGGUUCUGAGCACCGAAACCCUCUUUGCAACAAGGGGCCUUACAUAUCAUUCAAUUUGGUGAAAGAAUUUAUAACAACCGUAUUCACUUUCUCGAGCCAUGUAAAUAAGAAGGUUAAUCACGUGUAGUGUAGACGGCAUCGUUUUUAUCGUGAGAGAAAGACUCGCCUUGAUAUCCAAUCUUACACGGCACGCGAGUCAUCAUCCUAAAGCUAUGCAUUGGUCAUACCCUCACGAGUCACGAGGGUGUUCUAGUGGAUCCAUUUUGUAAUAAUCACAGCAAAGCAAUAGCCAAGAAUGUGACAUCACGUGUGAUCCUUUUCAUGGAUCAUCUGUUGAUAGCGAGUGAAUGCCUUUCAACAUCACCGUCGCUCAAUGCCGGCAAAUCAAAUCAGAAAAUCAUCACGGCCUUUCCCUUUCCCUUCCACUUCCUCUCGGAGAUUCCCAUUCUCUGAUGAACUCCGGCGUCUGUGUCUGCACAAUGCCCUGACUUUUCGAGGACACAAGCGUUUCUUCUCGUUAGUGUAGAAACAAUUUGCGACUUGCGAGUCGAAGUCAAACCAAACACCGGGAGACCCGUCGAACACUUCGCCUCGUGCUCAGCUACUGCUAGCCAGUCAGCUCACCAAGAAAAUAUACGCAUCUCGUGCUCGUCGGCCUCUCCCGGCGGCCAACCGCCCGGUCGCCGCGGCUCGCAUUCCUGCCGCGCGGUUUCCGGUGGCUUCGCCGCAGAUCCCCAAGAAGCCUCGGAAGAAAUUGUUCCUCGAGGGCUGCUGUUCCUAUGAUGGAUCCCGACGCCAAGGAGGGCGGGCCACUCGAAGAAGCUGGCGGCGCCGGUGCCGAGAGUGGUCCCCGCGACGGCGGCGCUGAAUGCGGCGUCGCCUCUCCCUUCCGCUGGCUGCGGCGGCUCUCCCGCGAGCUGCACUGGAGCUUCGUGCUCGCCGUCUUCGCCGUCUACGGGGCCUGCCAGGGCGUGGGCAACGCCGUCGGGGUGGUCGCCGCCUCGUACUACAGCAAGGACGUGCUGCGCCUCCAGCCGUCAGCGGCGCAGUUCUACCAGGGCAUCGUCGACUCGCCGUGGGUCGUCAAGCCCAUCUGGGGCCUGCUCACCGACGUCGUGCCCGUCGCCGGGUACCGCCGCCGCCCCUACUUCCUUCUCGCAGGUGAAAAGAUUGGGGAUCUCUUCUUGAUUCCACCACACACACACACAGACACACACACACACACACACACACACACACACAGGCAGACUCAACAUCAUUUUCAGGGUUGGCAUCCUGAUGCUCUGUGUUCUGAGGUUAAUGCAGGCGUGAUUGGCGCCACAUCUAUGCUUAUGAUUUCCCUGCAAAGCAAUCUGGGGCUCAUACCGGCGGUUCUAGCCCUCACGGCGCAGAGCGCAGGCGCGGCGAUAGCCGACGUGACGCUGGACGCCCUGGUUGCGCAGAACAGCAUAACACACCCGCCCCUCGCCGCCGACAUGCAGAGCCUGUGUGGGUUCUGCUCCUCAUUUGGGUCAUUGAUUGGGUACUCCAUCAGCGGCCUUCUUGUCCACUCCAUGGGAGCCCAGGUCCGUUGGGUCUCCUGUUAAGCUAGCAUAUACUCCCUCCGUUCCAAAAUAGAUGACUCUAGUCAUCUAUUUUGGAACGGAGGGAGUAUAUGCUAUCAAUCCUUGUUCCUCACAUGCCGCAGCAUGCGAAUUCGAUGUUCUCGGAGAAUGAUAUGUCUUGUGCUUGUUGUUUGAAGGGGGCUCUUGGCUUGUUGAGCAUCCCCUCAGCACUGGUGUUCUCAGCUGGGAUUCUGCUGAAGGAGAGCCGAGUGACAAACUUCAGUUACAAGCAGGUCAGACAGCACACUCAACCUUUUUGUUGGGUUGAAUUGCUGAAUGCAGUCUUUGCACACUAAUGACAUUUAAGGCCUUUGCUAAAUCAGGUUCAUAAGAAGUUCUACAAAGCAAUUCAGUCAAUGGGGACAACACUGAAGUGCCCUGAAGUCUGGCGGCCGUGUUUGUACAUAUAUGUUUCGCUCAAUCUAAGCCUGGACAUCCAAGGAGGAAUGUUCUACUGGUACACAGAUCGACUAACUGGACCAGGGUUUUCUGAGGUGUGCACAUAUCAUCAUCACAGACUAGGAAUCUAAAAGGAUAAAAACAUGGCAUUAAUGGUUAAAUCUCUAUAGGCAGGUGGUGUUUCAAACAGAUGCCUGGCCACUUUGAUACCACAUAAUUUCUUUAUGUAGGAUCCAUAAGUAGAUGGACAUGGUAUUUGUGCACUAUAUCUUAAUAUAGCUAAAGCAAUGUAAAUUCAAAUUCAACUAAUAAGCUUCUGAAGAUGGCAUGCCAAUCUGCUCAAAUGUUCCAAAAUAGCAGUCCCAAUCAGAUCCUAACCAAACUUGCAUGGAUGUGCUAUAGGUUACACUGAGAUUUAUGAUACUCAAUUGUUGCCAAAGAAACUCAUGGAACAUUUGCAUUGUCACAGGAAUUUAUUGGUGUAAUCUAUGCAGUCGGUGCAGUGGGUUCACUACUCGGGGUUGUGCUAUACCAAAGUGCUCUGAAGGACUACAAUUUCCGCAGCAUGCUUUUAUGGGGUCAGGUGCUGUCAAGCCUGACAGGGAUGCUUGAUCUAGCGCUAGUGACCCGACUAAACACGAAGGUCGGCAUACCAGACUACGUUUUCGCGGUGAUCGACUGCGGCGUUUCUGUAAUGGUCGGCAAGCUUCAGUGGAUGCCGGUUCUCGUGCUUUGCUCCAAGCUUUGCCCUCCGGGCAUCGAAGGAACCUUCUAUGCACUGCUCAUGUCAAUACAAAAUGUGGGGCUGCUUAUGUCUGCCUGGUGGGGUGGCCUGCUGCUGCACACGCUGAAUGUGACUCGAUCGGAGUUCAGUAACCUUUGGGCGGUUGUGUUGAUCAGAAACGUCUCGAGGCUGCUUCCGCUGAUGCUGCUGUUUCUUGUCCCUCAAAGCGACCAGAACUCGACGCUCCUUCCUGCGGAGAUGCUUCACGAUGACGAACCUACAGAAGCUGUCAAGGAUGGAUCGGGCAGCGCUCAGUUUUCCGUCGUUGUUGCGGAUGAUUCAAGUUGUCAUCCUUCCAUUGAGGAUGUUCAAGAUGAGAGAAUCAAAGUGACUGAUGAUGUAGGAGAUGAUGUAGAGCUGAUGCCACUGAUGAACAAGACUAGAACAGUUGGGUGAUCAUCUCAUUCGUAAGAGGGUUGAUUCAUGAUCCAUUUACGCCCUGGCCUUCUGAUUAUACGUUUCGGUAGCUGUCUAGCAAGAUAAUGUUUGCUACAAAAGUAAUGUACACAAUUUCUGUUUAUCUGUAUUUUGUAUAGGUAGAAGCAGCCGAGUAGCAAGUGAAGCAUACAUUUUCUUCUUUCUUUUCUUAAUGUAGAACAAGAUAGAAUAAUACAAUAUCAAUCCAUUCAAUCAUGUAUUGAGCAGUUCCUUUGCCUAUUCAAUGUUUCUUCCCCAUUCCCUUCAGUUGAGUUAAAACCUGUAACUUUCACCAUGGUUAUGGUUGAAAUGUUUGGCGUUUUGAGAAUAUUGUUCUUUGUGGGUGUGAAGUGCUAGUAUUUCAGUACACGUGGUACUCUAUUCUAAACUCCCCACUCCCCAGGGCAUGUGUUUUACCAACCCUGUGUAUCACAGGCACGAGCAGAAUGUAAUGGUGAAAACCGUCUUUUCUUUACCUCAUUUUGGAUGGUAGAGUUGACGGUGAAAAACCGAAGUACAGAUCUAGCAUAUGUUAUGUGGGACAAUUGACAUUGCAUAACAGCAUAAGAGUUUCUAUCUUGAGACACGAGUUCCUCUGCCAAGUUCAUUGACCCGUUGGGGCCAGGGAGGGCCUUGAAUAACUGAAAUUUGAAUGAGGACAAAGUGUUGUCAAAUUUGAAGACAAAGUGAUCACUUUAUUAUCAUACUAAUCGCUCAUCCGUUCAUGGCCAGACACACACAGGCAAGCCUUUCAUUUAUACUACAGUGUCACGUCAGAAAUGGCAGAUAGCAAAUCGAUCAUCUUCUCUCUUACAAUUAGCACAUGAACCCUAGAUCUCUCACACCAACCCGAAACUACAGACAACCGGCAGAUACCACCUUGUACACUUGCUUCUGUUAAUCAGAACCAGCGGCUGGCUAC
rnacentral:lncRNA from 1 species